rnacentral:lncRNA from 1 species
CUCAUCUCAUUCCUUCUAUAAAUAUCUUGGCAAUGUGCAUACUAUAUUGUUGUUGAUCUUCAAAAUAAUUGUUGGAUAUACAUAUAUCCAGUUUGCGAGAUGGAGUUAAAAGUGGGAAAUUUGAACAUGCGAAGAAGGUUUUGUCCCCUUCCCCGUCGUCGGAAGUCUAUCAUCUAGAAUGUGGGUCUAGUAGCCACUGCUUUAGUUGCGAUCCUCCUAGCUGCAAUAAUUGUAUAGAUGGAACUUGCAACUUGCUCAAAUUCAAAAACACUUCAGCUCUCUGCUUGUAGUACUAAUAAAGGCAGAAAUAAUUAUGCACAAUAAGAUCAAUUUUGAUCUGAGUAAAAAUAUUCUAUUAUAUUUAGUGCAUUCUCAUGGACGUAUUAAUUUGUGAAAAUGAAUAGUUUUUCUUUGAGUGCUGUUAUUUCCACCCAUUUGUCCUAUUUUUCUACCCACUUUAUUUUCAAAAUUUUAAAGACAAAUUUACCCAUUUAUAAAAUGACUUAUGAGGAUAACUCUCUCAGUCUCUCACACACGCACCCACACCCACAACCAUAUUUUCUUUUUCUUUUUCUUUUUGUUCAAAAUCGACACCCAUCUUCAUACCUAACCCAUCAAACAAAAUGAAGUCAACAUCUAUAACUCCCUGUGUUCUUCACUAGAAGAAAACCUAAACUUACAAACUCAUAAUCCCAAUUUUAUUUUCAGUCACACAUAAUCCAAUCAUUUUUCUUUCUUCUCUAACUCUAAAGCUCAUGUAGUCCCGUAUUACAUCGACUUUGAGCUUUUGGGCAACUCUAAAACUGACAGAAACACAUGGUCAUUUCCUUUUCUUCCUUUGUCUCUUUCUUUCCUUUUAAUUUCAAACUCAAAUAACACCUCUCUUGCAGUCUUUGAAAUUAAAAAUAAAAUAAAGCAAAUGUGUUUUCAUUUUCUGGAACAGAUAGAGCAAUCAAUCUGAGUUUGUUUGUUUUUUUGUUUGUUUUUGUUUUUGUGGGUGAUAGGAAGGGGAGUGUUAGGAGGAGAGUUUUCCUUUGGUUGAAGAAGGAGAGUUAAAUGUUUGUAAGGUCAUGGUGUUGAUUGUUGGAUUUUCCCCAAGGGAGAAGGUUGGGGUGGUGGGAGAGGGAGGGGGAGGGAGAGGGCAAUUGGGGUGGGGAUAGGCUAAUUGAAGAAUUCUUUUAUUGCUUUUUAUAUAUUUUUUUUCUUGUAAUAGCAAAUAUGGAAAUACAAUUAGAGGGUAUUUUAGGAAUAGUAGUGGGUGGAAAAAUAGGUUUGUAUUUAUUCAAAUUUAUAUGAUGGAUGAGAAGAUAAGGUGGGUGGGGAAAUAGGACAAGCGCGUGAAAAUAGCAGCACUCUUUUCUUUUUGUUGUGUUUUUUUCAAUCAUUGAAAGAGUGAAGAUCUAUCGUUUAAUUCGUUGCUUCAUUUGUCAAAAUGAUUCGAAUUGUUUUAAAUUAACAUUACAAAACAAUUUAAAUAAUUUGAUUCAGUCUAGCUAGAGUGUGACCAAUACUUAUUAAUGUAAAAAUAUACUAUUUCAUGGACUAACAUAGGUUAAAAAAGUCUUGGAAUAAAAUUAAUAAAUCCAAUGCUAAUAGUAAUCGACGCUUCAAAUCAAAAUGAUGCCUUUAAUUCAAUUUUGUUUGGGCCACCCUUUUGUCUAAUGUUUGUUCUUCUCAUGAAAAUAAUAUAAUUUGAGUAAUGUAUUUUCUAUCAAUAUUAAUUUAUAGAAUAAUACUAGUCUUACCAUAUUUCUAUACCAUGAUUUUAUAGCACAUGAUGUGGCAGUUGAUGUGUAUAUACCACAUUAGCUAAUUAAUGUGAUUAAUACUUUUUUUUUUCUCUUUAUUAAAAUUUAGGACAAACUACAUAAAACCCCUCAACUUAUAAGGUCAUUUACAAGUUCAUACCCGUUUUUAGAGACAUUUACCAGUACAUACUCAACGUCACGGAAACCCUACAAUUUGCCCCUUCCGUUACACAAAUCAUUAAUGAAUCUGUUAAAUGCUGUUGUGGCAAAAAUGAAACUUAUUUUUUAAUUGAAGUGGACUUACAUGUGGACAAAUAAAUAAUUUUUAAAUCAUAUUAAAAUAAUUAAAAAAUUCUCCACUCUCUUCUCCUACCCAGCCAACCCUCUCUUCCUCCUGACUCAACCCUACCUCUCAGCCACCCCUCUCCCGUCGCUCACCCCAAAACCCUACGAAAAAAAAUCAAAAAAAAUAAAAUAAAAUAAAUAAAUAAAACCAGGCCAGUUGCCAUAACCCACCAAACUCAAAUCAAUUUCAAAACCUAAUUUGUACUUGGUCAAUUUAUUGAUCAAAUUCAAAUUUGAAUUCAAACCCUAAGGUUGCAGAACACUAAAAAGCCCCAAUUUCAGACUUCGCUCGAUCAAAGGAGGAGCUUUAUGUGGCUGAGGAGAUUGAUGACCUUGUGGUGGAUUCGGAAACUUGGAGUUUAAUAAAUUUUAACAAACUUUAAUAAAUGAAUUUGAAGACAGAACAAACAACUAAAACAAAAUGGGUAGCCAGCAACCAUUAGUGGAGUUCUAUGCUCAGGAACAAAAUUUCGAGCCUUUCUGAGUGCUAUACCACAAUCCAAUCUCACAGAGAGGGGCUGGGAAGGCGGUGAGGUUGGCUGGGUUGGGAAGACAGAGGGCGAGAGAUUUUCACUGUUUAUUUAUUUAUUUAAUAUAAUUUAACCUUUUUUUUUUAAUAUUUGAAAAAAACAAAAGAAUUGUUUAUUAUAUAUUUUGGUCACACAUGGAAUUCACGUCAUAAAAUUGGGGGUCACAUUUGCCACAUUAGCAUUUAACAGAUUCAUUAACGGUUUGUGUAAUGGAGGGGGCAAAUUGUAGGGUUUCCGUGACGUUGAGUAUGUAUUGGUAAAUGUCUCCAAAAUCGGGUAUGAACUUGUAAAUGACCCUAUAAGUUGGGGGGUUUUAUGUAGUUUGUCCUAAAAUUUACUUCGUUGAUUUAAAUGAUGUGGCAUAUAAUAUGGACAUGUCACAUCAUGUGGUAUAGAAAAUUGAGAUAAAAAUAUGGUAAGUGUAAGCAUUACUCAAAUUUAUAUUUUCCAGAGUAAAAAUAAAAAUAAAAAUCAUUAAAAUAUAUUAAUCCCGAUGGAUCCAUAAUUAAUAUUGAAUGGUAGUAAAUGUUAAAUGUUGGGAACAGAUUUGCAACGUAUAGGUCCCUCACAUAGGCUUAACGCAUUUGGUACAAUUUAAUUUUAAACAAGAAAUUGGGUUUUUUUGUGUGGAAAUUUUGGAUUUGUUGUUGAUUGUGCAUUUUAAUGCUUUCUUUUAGAGAAAAAAAAAAGAUUGGAAAAAAGAAUGUCCAACUAUAAUUAUUAAAAUAAAAACGGAAAUUUGUCUCAAUAAAAACGGAAAUGUUUUCAAUAAAAACGGAAAAUUUAAUGUCAUCAUGUACAGAAUUAGCUAGACAAAGAAGAACAAUAAAAACAAUUUGUGGCCAUAAAAAAAAUUGCAUAUACGCACAUACAGUUAGAGAAUCACACAGACAUGAUCUUUAAUACAAUGAAUACAAAACCCCUAUAAAUAUUGCCCUGCAGACUCACAAACAAUAUCACCACUAAUCUAAGAGAGGAGAAUUUCAGUACUAAACUAGAAACCAAUUACUCCUACUUAGAAAAAUGGUGAAGGCUUCCUCCAUAACAGUGUGCUUGCUUCUCCUCCUUGUUGUGGCACAUGGUAAGCAUAUCCUCAUCUCAUCCCUUUUAUAAAUAUCUUGGUAAUGUGCAUACUAUAUUGUUGUCCAUCUUCAAAUUAAUUGUUGGAUAUACAUAUAUUUAGGUUUGCGCGAUGGAGUUAAAAGUGGGAAAUUUGAACAUGCGAAGAAGGUUUCAUCCCCUUCUCCGUCGUCGGAAGUCUAUCAUCUAGAAUGUGAAUCUAGUAGCCAGUGCUAUGGCUGCAAUCCUCCUAGCUGCAACAAUUGUAUAGAUGGAACUUGUGCUUGUUACUGCUGAAAAGAUAUCAAGAAUAAGCUUGUAACUUGCUCAAAUUCAAAAACACUUCAGCUCUCUGCUUGUAGUACUAAUAAAGAAGAUCAAUUUUGAUCUGAGUAAUAAUAUUCUAUUAUAUUUAGUGCAUUCUCAUUGACGUAUUAAUUUCUGAAUAUGAAUCGUUUUUCUUUUCGUUGUGUUUUUUUCAAUCAUCGGAAGAGUGAAGAUUUAUCGUUUAAUACGUUGCUUCAUUUGUCAAAAUGAUACGAAUUGUUUUAAAUUAACAUUACAAAACAAUUUAAAUAAUUUGAUUCAGUCUAGCUAGUGUGACCAAUACAUGAUUUUAAGGGUACAACUCUCUAAGAUACCAAAAUGUAAUUGAAAUUAAUCCAAUUUAAAAUAUAUUUGCAUAUUUAUUUUUUAUGAUUGACAUAUUUUAUAUUUGGUUAUCUUGUGAAAUCUGCUUCUGCCGCGCACAAUAAUGGGGGAGUGUUGGUGCGUUUUGGUCGAUAAAAGUGUCACAUUUCCAACUCCAUCGUUGGGAUUCUGGGAUGAACAAAACAUUUCCAACUGUUGGAUUUUUCAUAUCUGUUAUACCUGUUUCGAUUUGUUAUUCAGUGGGAUAUCCUCAUCUCAUCCCUUUUAUAAAUAUCUUCGUAAUGUGCAUACUAUAUUGUUGUUCUGUGGGAUACCCUCAACAAAAGCAUGGACAAUCGAUUCCGUUGUCUCUCAGGUUUUCUUAAUAAGAAAGAGUAGCAGUAUUUCAUAUUGCUAAUGUUGGAAUUUUAAAAAGGUUUUAAAAAAAUUUACCGUUUUGAUUUUUUAAAAUUAUUUUGGUUGUUUUAUAUUUUAUUUAUUGUUGGGUUAUAAAUAUUUAAUUUUCAGGUUUUAUUUUUAUAUUGAAUGUCUUAAUGUUCUAGUUUAAUAUGGUGGAGGUUACAUGUUUUUGGAUACCUAUAAAAGGUCACUCCUCCUUCACAUUUGAGAUACUACUAAAAUACCACAAUACAAUAUGUUUUUCUCUUCCUCUACCUUCAUACUUUCUAUACUUUUGAUUAUUAUUUUUGGGCAAUGGUUCUAUGACUUGGAGACUUAUAUUCGACUGUGAACGUGCUCAUAGCGGACCUUGAGCCUGGGUAUUGAGGUUGUGUCAUGGAGUAUUGUAGAUUGUUAGUACCUACCAGGGCUUGCCUUGAGAUUUAGGAGGCCCUGUGCAAAACUUAAACUGAGGCUCUCAAAUAAUCUAAUACAAACUUAUACCUUGGCAUACAAAAAUUUUAUUUUUUAAAAUAAAAAAUAAUCAUCAAUUAGCAUGCAAAUCACUAAUAAAAUUUAUAAAAAAAAUUUGACGUUUCAAUUCGAGAAACUUGAAUGCUAGUAUGUUCAGCAUAAAGACCAGGUUUUUCUUUCAGUGCUUCUAUAUAUAUAAAGCAAAAGGUAGAGAAUGGUGAAACAUUCAAAAUACCAGAAAAUACCCUUGGUUAAUGCAAACAUUAAGAAUUCAAAUUAUUAAUUAAAUGAGGAUAAUAUGAUAAAUUUAUACUUUUUCAUAUUUAAAAAAAUUAAAAGAAAAAGAAAAAGCAGAUAAUGGAUCCUAUUUUUAUGGAACACAACUACCCAUUAUCUUUUUUAAUUCUAAAAUAAAUUUACUUAUUUUUUUUAUAAAAAAUCUCUCGCAAGCACGGAAGCGCGUGCAGAGAGGCUAGUGUUAACUAUAUGAAGACUUGUAUAUAGUAUAAUUAUGUAUAUAUGAAGUGUAUAAAUCAAUCAUCACCCACAACCAAAUAUAAUAUUAUAUAUAUAAACUAUCAAAUAUAUAUGAACUAUAUGCAAUGCUCGUUAUCUUUUAUUAUAUAAUCAAUCAGCGUGAUGAGACAGGCGAGCUCGAACCCACACCAUAAGAGCAACUCCAGCGUGCCCGGGCAAAGGGGGGUUUGGCCCAAAACAGCCUUUCAGCGGAUAAAUGUUGCACGGGCUGUGGGUGGGCUCCACAAGUCUGGGUUGGCCCUCAGGCAAAACCAACCCUCAGUCUAACUUGGGUUUGCUGACGUCAAUGAUGACGUUAGCAACCAAAAAAUAAUUUUAAAAAAUACUAAACUUUUCAAAAUUUUUUUAAAAAUAAAUACUUAGUCAUAUUUUUCACUUUCCACACCAAAACUCUAUACAAAUUCCUCUCCUCAUAUCUCAUGUGAAUAGUGGUUGCCAUGGCAAUGGGUGGAAACACACUUUGCUUUUUGCAAGGGCAGCCACUAUUCACAUGAAUAGUAGCUGCCCUAACUCCCCCUUGCCAUGGCAAAGGGCAAAUGGGUGGAGUUGCUCUAAGUGGAAGUUAAAGUGUAGCAAAACAACGCUGCCAAACUCGUCCUCGUGUGAACGUCCUACGUUGGCUUUAUAUAUAUAUAAUAUUAUAUAUAUAUUUGGGGGUCCUAUGCAGUGGCACCGUCUGAGCAGCUUCAGGGCCGCCUAGGCCUCUACCUUUACGUAGCGAGGUUACAAAGGCUUUAGAAUAGCAUCUCUGACGUGCUUCAUCAUACCAUGCUUGCUUUCUUAAUCUUAAUUUAUUUUUUAUGUGUCUCUUUAGUUAUACUUUAUCUUAAAAAACUUUCUAUUUUGUUCUAUAUAUUAUUUAUAAUAUAAAUCUUUUUGCAUAUGGCUUUAGAGAAAAAAGAAAAACUAUCAUUUUUAUAGCAGCUAACUCCCCCAUGUUCUGUUUCCAUGCUGUAUAAUCAAAAUUGGUACAUAGUUUUGUUGUGCUGUUUCCUACUCUCUUUUGCAGUUGUUACAUUUACUCUCUAAAAUACUCUUAUCGAUAAACAAUAAUAUAAAUUUCUCUUUUUUAAUUACCUUUAAUUAGUAGUUAUGUUUUAAUUAUUAUUUAUUUAAUGUAUUUUAAUAUUUUAAUAAAUUUUAUUUUUAAUCAAUAAUAUGUGAGCACUUUGUGAAUAAUACUUGAAGUUUAUGUGUAUUAUUGAAAAUUUUGUAAAAAUGCAAGUGUAUUAAACAUGAAAAAUACAUACGUACAUGUAUAAUAUGAGUAUUAAACUUGAAGAUGCUAAAUUCUUUAUACGGGUAAUAAUUCUGAAAAAGUAAAAACUUGAAAGGGAACAAUAGAGACUUGUGUAGUGGUUUAAGAGUAAUGGAUAAUGCUCUUAAUUACUCUUAUCAAUAAACAAAAAUCAGGGAAAAUCAAUUAUAUAUAAAAAAAAAAAAUCAAAAUAUCUAUGUAAAGCGUAUAGCCGCAUGGCUAUACUAUCUAAAAAAGUAUUUUAAAAAAAGACCCCAAUAAUGUCUUGCAGCUAUACUCUUUUACAUAAAAAAUAAAAAAAACAUAAUUCGGCGCUAUACUAUUUCUAAAUAAAUAAAUAAAAACCGCCUAGAGCUGAGCGUGUGUUUUUUUAUGAAAAGAGUAUAGCUGCGCGGCUGAAUAGAAUAUUUCAAACGUAUAGCCAAGCAGCUAUACUCUAUAAAUAGAAUUUUUUUUGACAAUGUAGCUGUGCGGCCUUUAAUUAAUAGUUAUGUUUUAAUUAUUAUUUACUUAGUGAAUAAUUAGUUUUUAAAUAUUUUAAUAUAUUUUAUUUUUAAUCAAUAAUAUGUUAAUAGUACGUUAAUUUUGUGUGUGUUAUUGAAAAUUUUGUAUAAAAAAAAAAAUAAGUGUAUUAAACAUGAAAAAUGCAUACACCGUGUAGAAUACGAGUAUUAAACGUGAAAAUGCUAAAUUCUUUAUACAGGUAAUAACUCUGAAAAAGUAAAAACUUAAAAGGAGAGAAUAGAGAUUCAGAUAAUGGCUAAAUAGUAAUAGAUAAUGCUCUAAACUACUCUUAUCGAUAAACAAAAAUUGGAGAUAAACAAUUAUUAAAAAAUAAGAUCACAUUGCUAUUCAAUGGGUAUAGCCCCACGGCUAUAUUAUAUAUAAAAAAAAGAAUUAAAAAAAACGAAGUCGGUUGGCUAUACCCUUUUGAUAUUAAAAAUAAUAAUUUGGCAUAUAGCUGCGCAGUUGUACUAUUCAUAAAUAAAUAAAAGGACUCACCUAGUGCUGAGUGCAUGUAUUUGUGAAAAGAGUAUAGCCCUGUGGCUAUAUUCUAUAAAUAUUGAAACUUCAAACGUAUAGCCGCGCGGCUAUACGCUACAAAUACAAUUGUUUUUAAACGUAUAGCCGAGCGGCUAUACCUAUUGAAUAUCACAAUAUGGAUUUCUCUUUUUUAAUUACUUUAAUUAGUAGUUAUGUUUUAAUUAUUAUUAUUUACUUAGUGAAUAAUUAGUAUUUAAAUAUUUAAAUAUAUUUUAUUUUUAAUCAAUAAUAUGUGAGUACUUUGUGAAUAAUACUUGAAUUUUGUGUGUAUUAUUGAAAAUUUUGUAAAAAAUAAGUGUAUUAAAUAUGAAAAAUACGAUCGUAAGUACAUUUACAAUACGAUUAUUAAAUGUGAAAAUGCUAAAUUCUUUAUACGGGUAAUAACUCUGGAAAAAUAAAAACUCAAACGGAGAGAAUAGAGAUUCGGGUAAUGGCCUAAUAGUAAUGGACAAUACUCUAAACUACUCUUAUCAAUAAACAAAAAUCAAGAUUCAGAUUUUGGGGCCCUGUGCGAAACUUUGAAUUUGAACACAGCAAUCAAUCAGUCAACAAACACCCCUCCUUGAGAUAUUUUAAUGUCAUCUAACGCUUUAAGUCAGAGUGAAACUAUUGUUCACCUUCAUCACUUUUGUAUUGCAUUGUCAAUUUCAAUAGCUUUGUGAAAAUCUUGAAAUGAGUUUCCAUUUCCAGGAGAAAUCAUAUAAUUAUAUAUCAAUGAUUAGAACUGAGAUAACAUGGACUGUAAGAAUGGCAUGUGGUUUGUGUCAGAUAUCAGACACUUUUGUUUCUAUUCUCGAGUUCCAAAUUAUUUGUGUCACUAGACAAAACAACAACAACAAAAAAACCAUUUUUUGUUUUGUGCCAAUCAUUAAUAAUGAUUUACUUGUGAGAUUCUCAUGAUGUUAAGUAAUAUUUUGUCUUCCUUAUUGGGGGUGAGAGAGAGAAGAGGAAGGGCUCUAGCCUCUUCUCUGUGGGGUUUUGUCUCAUACGUCUAUGGUGAGAUAAAAUACAGCAAGCAAAAAGAAAAAAGAAAAAAGAAAUAGAAAUAGAAAAGAAAGACACCCCAGAUACAGCACAAGUUUCUCAAUUCGAUCCCUAGCCCUAGGCCAUGAAAGCACAAGCUGUUGUUUCAUGUCUUAUUCUCUGUUGGAGUUUCUGAAGGAGGGAAGGCCUUCUGUCAUUUAUCAUUUAUGUACAUUUCAUUUCUGAAGCACAAGCUGUUGUUUCAUAUUGUGUUACUCAUGAAUGAGCAAUGAAAACCAUUCAAAUGGCAACGGUCAUGAGAUCCUGGCCAGACAUGCAGCCCUUGAAUUAUUCAUCAACGGCCCAAAAUCACUGGCAUGCGGGGUCCACAUAUAUAUAGGAGCUUCAUAGAGUCGUUUUAUUACGAGGACCGCCAUACAUGAUCAAGUGAGGUGCAGAUGAGGAGAUGGUUUGUUGUCAGAAAUAGAGGCGUCAAACGGGACUGACCGCCUAGCACGGCACGAGUCUAGUCCGUUUAAAUAAGGCAAGGCACGGCACGGCACGAGCACGAAUAUCAAUGGACCGUGCUCAAUACGGAGACAGAUGUACUAGUUGUUGUGGCCCAAACAUUUACGGCAACUAGUUUCCUCAUUUAGUCCUCUCAGGCCAUCUCUAAGGUGUGUAUAAUGCCAUAGGGGUUUUUGCCCCGAACUCCUUUUGUGGACAGCCCAACUCCAGCUGGCGAAAUUCUAUAACGUUGGACCGCCAUAUAUGGACCUCAGACGAGAUCUGUAUUUUUAGCCGCACAAUUAAACUGAGCGGCUUAGAUUUAAAGUUUUUUUAAGCUACAAGACACUCAAUCCUCAUCCUAUCCUUCAAAGGGAUCACGUGCAUCUCUUUUAUCUCUGUUUUGCUCUUUUGACUAGAGGUGUCAAACUGGUCGUACUGGGCCAGUCCGUCCCAUUUAUACUCGUACUUUUAACAUUUUCAUAUCGUCCAUUUAAUUUAUCGGGCUAUGCCGUGCCGGCCCAUUUAGUAAAAUCAUUGAUCCCCCCCGACCCAAAGCCCAUGUCCACAUCGAAACGGGCCGGGCCGGGCUCGUGUCGUGCCCGUGCCAUACUCGGGCCCAAGAACCAACAUAUUUAAUUUGAAUUUUUUCACUUGAUUUUUUUUUCCACUAGAUAAUUCAAAUUAUAAACAUUAAAAAAUAUAAUUAGAGGCAAGAAAUGAUGAACUAUUUGAAAACAUUAAUCAAUCAAACAUCCAAACAAUAUAAAAGGACGGAGGGCAAAAAGUGUCCAACUCUACAAAGUCCACUUCAACUUUUCAUCUUUAAACAACUUAAUAUUUUAUAUGUGAAGAAAUGUCUUGCUUUGAUUAUAAGAGAAGCGUAUAUGUCAUAUGUACUGAUUAGAUAUAAAGUCCAAUGUUGUUUAAUUAAUUUGUAGUUGAUAUGUUUAAUUAAUUAAGGAUCCAAGUAAUUUCUCUAAAAUGAAAGACAUCAAAUAUAUGUUUAUGAUUAUAUAAAAAAAAUAAAAAAACCAUAUAAACAAUGAUAUUAGAUGUCAAAUUUUUGCAUUUUGACAUUUGAGAAAGAAAAAAAAAGUUAAGUGGGCCGUGCUUGAAGUGGGCUCGGGCCAAGCUCGGCCCAUGUCGGCCAGCAAGUCGCAUUGCUUCUUCUCACCCUAGCCACCACCAGCUUCUUCGGUGCAGGUAUUCUACUUUUCCCUGUCUUCCCCUGUAAUUUUGAGUUAAAAGUUGUAACCCAGGGGUUAGUAAUUUUCUUUCUACAUGUAAGCCUUCCUUAAUCUGCUAAAUAUAACUCCUAACACAUGCAUGGUUAAUGUUCUCCAGAGGGAUACGAUUCAUUUGACCCGGAUGCAAAUAUCACCAUGAAAUGGGAUAUUAUGGCAUGGACUGCUGAUGGCUAUGUAGUAAGCAUUUUUAUCUAUUAUCUAUUAUUAAUGUUUUCCUUAGGUUUUUGCUGUGUGAUAUAUACUUACUAUUGAUUGAGGUUUGUUGUCAAAAGUAGAGGUGUCAAAUGGGAUGGACCGGCCUAGCACGGCACGAGCCCAGCCUGUUUAAAUGAGGCACGACACGGUACAAGCACGAAUAUCAAUGGGCCGUGCUCGGCACGGAGACAAAUGUACUAGUUGUUGUGGCCCAAACAAUUACGGCAACUAGUUUCCUCAUUUAGUCCUCUCGGGCCAUCUCUAAGGUGUGUAUAAUGCCAUAGGGGUUUUUGGCCCGAACUCCAUUUGUGGACAACCCAACUCCAGCUGGCGAAAUUCUAUAACGUUGGACCGCCAUAUAUGGACCUCAGACGAGAUUUGUAUUUUUAGCCGCACAAUUAAAUGAGCGGCUUAGAUUUAAAGUUUCUUUUAAGCCACAAGACACUCAAUCCUCAUCCUAUCCUUCAAAGGGAUCACGUGCCUCUCUCUUAUCUCUGUUUUGCUCUUCUGACUAGCGGUGUCAAACGAGCCGUGUCGGGCUGGCCCGUCCCAUUUAUACUUGUACUUUUAACGUUUUCGUGUCGUGCCGGGCCAGUCCAUUUAAUUUAUCGGGCUAUACCGUGACGGCCCAUUUAGUAAAAUCAUUGAUCAUGCCCGACCCAAAGCCCAUGUCCACAUCAAAACGGGCCGGGCCGGGCUCGUGUAAUGCCCGUGCCAUACUCGGGCCCAAGAACCAACAUAUUUAAUUUGAAUUUUUUCACUUCAUUUUUUUUUUUCACUAGAUAAUUCAGAUUAUAAACAUUAAAAAUAUAAUUAGAGGCAAGAAAUGAUGAACUAUUUGAAAACAUUAAUCAAUCAAACAUCCAAACAAUAUAAAAGGACGGAGGGCAAAAAGUGUCCAACUCUACAAAGUCCACUUCAACUUUUCAUCUUUAAACAACUUAAUAUUUUAUAUGUGAAGAAAUGUCUUGCUUUGAUUAUAAGAGAAGCGUAUAUGUCAUAUGUACUAAUUAGAUAUAAAGUCCAAUGUUGUUUAAUUAAUUUGUAGUUGAUAUGUUUAAUUAAUUAAGGAUCCAAGUAAUUUCUCUAAAAUGAAAGACAUCAAAUAUAUGUUUAUGAUUAUAUAAAAAAAAUAAAAAAACCAUAUAAACAAUGAUAUUAGAUGCCAAAUUUUUGCAUUUUGACAUUUGAGAAAGAAAAAAAAAAGUUAAGUGGGCCGUGCUUGAAGCGGGCUCGGGCCAAGCUCGGCCCAUGUCGGCUAGCAAGUCGCAUUGCUUCUUCUCACCCUAGCCACCACCAACUUCUUCGGUGUAGGUAUUCUACUUUUCCCUGUCUUCCCCUGUAAUUUUGAGUUAAAAGUUGUAACCCAAGGGUUAGUUAUUUUCUUUCUACAUGUAAGCCUUGCUUAAUCUGCUUAAUAUAACUCCUAACACAUGCAUGGUUAAUGUUCUCCAGAGGGAUACGAUUCAUUUGACCCGGAUGCGAAUAUCACCAUGAAAUGGGAUAUUAUGGCAUGGACUGCUGAUGGCUAUGUAGUAAGCAUUUUUAUCUAUUAUCUAUUAUUAAUGUUUUCCUUAGGUUUUUACUGUGUGAUAUAUACUUACUAUUGAUUGAGGUUUGUUAUCAAAAGUAGAGGUGUCGAAUGGGAUGGGCCGGCCUAGCACGGCACGAGCCCAGCCCGUUUAAAUGAGGCACGACACGGUACAAGCACGAAUAUCAAUGGGCCGUGCUCGGCACAGAGACAAAUGUACUAGUUGUUGUGGCCCAAACAAUUACGGCAACUAGUUUCCUCAUUUAGUCCUCUCGGGCCAUCUCUAAGGUGUGUAUAAUGCCAUAGGGGUUUUUGGCCCGAACUCCAUUUGUGGACAACCCAACUCCAGCUGGCGAAAUUCUAUAACGUUGGACCGCCAUAUAUGGACCUCAGACGAGAUUUGUAUUUUUAGCCGCACAAUUAAAUGAGCGGCUUAGAUUUAAAGUUUCUUUUAUGCCACAAGACACUCAAUCCUCAUCCUAUCCUUCAAAGGGAUCAAGUGCCUCUCUCUUAUCUCUGUUUUGCUCUUCUGACUAGAGGUGUCAAACGGGCCGUGUCAGGCUGGCCCGUCCCAUUUAUACUUGUAUUUUUAACGUUUUCGUGUCGUGCCGGGCCAGUCCAUUUAAUUUAUCGGGCUAUACCGUGACGGCCCAUUUAGUAAAAUCAUUGAUCAUGCCCGACCCAAAGCCCAUGUCCACAUCGAAACGGGCCGGGCCGGGCUCGUGUAAUGCCCGUGCCAUACUCGGGCCCAAGAACCAAUAUAUUUAAUUUGAAUUUUUUCACUUGAUUUUUUUUCCACUAGAUAAUUCAAAUUAUAAACAUUAAAAAUAUAAUUAGAGGCACGAAAUGAUGAACUAUUUGAAAACAUUAAUCAAUCAAACAUCCAAACAAUAUAAAAGGACGGAGGGCAAAAAGUGUCCAACUCUGCAAAGUCCACUUCAACUUUUCAUCUUUAAACAACUUAAUAUUUUAUAUGUGAAGAAAUGUCUUGCUUUGAUUAUAAGAGAAGCGUAUAUGUCAUAUAUACUGAUUAGAUAUAAAGUCCAAUGUUGUUUAAUUAAUUUGUAGUUGAUAUGUUUAAUUAAUUAAGGAUCCAAGUAAUUUCUCUAAAAUGAAAGACAUCAAAUAUAUGUUUAUGAUUAUAUAAAAAAAAAAAUAUAAAAAACCAUAUAAACAAUGAUAUUAGAUGUCAAAUUUUUGCAUUUUGACAUUUGAGAAAGAAAAAAAAGAGUUAAGUGGGCCGUGCUUGAAGCGGGCUCGGGCCAAGCUCGGCCCAUGUCGGCCAGCAAGUCGCAUUGCUUCUUCUCACCCUAGCCACCACCAGCUUCUUCGGUGCAGGUAUUCUACUUUUCCCUGUCUUCCCCUGUAAUUUUGAGUUAAAAGUUGUAACCCAAGGGUUAGUUAUUUUCUUUCUACAUGUAAGCCUUGCUUAAUCUGCUUAAUAUAACUCCUAACACAUGCAUGGUUAAUGUUCUCCAGAGGGAUACGAUUCAUUUGACCCGGAUGCGAAUAUCACCAUGAAAUGGGAUAUUAUGGCAUGGACUGCUGAUGGCUAUGUAGUAAGCAUUUUUAUUUAUUAUCUAUUAUUAAUGUUUUCCUUAGGUUUUUGCUGUGUGAUAUAUACUUACUAUUGAUUGAGGUUUUUAUGGGGUACUGGGCUUGGGAUGUGUCAUUUUAAUGGUAUAGUGAGCCACAAAUAAUUGGGUUUUUCUGGGUUUCUAUUUUGAUGGUUUUUCAAUUGAGUUUCUGGUAUUCAUGCAGAAAAUUGCAUAAAUCAGUCCUCUUACUAAAACCAUGCUCUUAUAAAUUAUAAUUUUGUGGGAGAUUUGAAUGAGUUUCAAAUUGGGGGACAGUAAUAUGGGUAUGUGGGUACGAUUUUUUGGAAGAGCUGAAUGGCCUUGAUGGAGUUGGGGCUGUUUACGGAGAGAGGCUGGUGUGGUGGGCUAGGGGGCUGAGGGAGAAGGCUAGGGAAGUGGGGGAAGAGGUGUCAAAAAGGACAGGCCGGCCCAGCCCACUUAAAUGAGGCACACGAAUAUCAAUGAGCCGUGCUCGGCACGGCACAAAAACUUGGGUCAAGCCAGGAUAAAAAAUGAGGUCCAAUGGAUCGGGCUGGCCCACGGCCCGACAUGAGCCGGGCUUGGCCUGAGCCCGCUUCAAGCACGGCCUGAGCCCAAGCCCGCUUCAAGCACGGCCCAUGUCAGGCCCUUUUAUAUUGUUUAGAUGUUUGAUUGAUUAAUGUUUUCAAAUAGUUCAUUAUUUCUUGGCUCUAAUUAUAUUUUCAAUGUUUAUAAUUUGAAUUAUCUAGUGGAAAAAAAAAAAUCAAGUGAAAAAUUUCAAAUUAAAUAUGUUGGUUCUUGGGCCCAAGUAUGGUACGAGCACAAGCACGAGCACGACACAAGCCAGGCCCGGCCCGUUUCAAUGGGGACAUGGGCUUUGGGUCGGGCGGGAUCAAUGAUUUUACUAAAUGGGCCGACAUGGUAUAGCCCGAUAAAUUAAAUGGACUGGCCCGACACGAUACGAAAACGUUAAAAGUACGUAUAUAAAUGGGACGGGCCGGCCCAACACGGCCCGUUUGACACCUCUAAGUGGGGGUGAUGGGUUUUUUUUUUAAUUUUAUUAAAAGUUUUUCAUUUUGCAAAGAAUUUAUUAAAGGUUUAAUUUCGGAGUUAAUAGGUAGACAAGUGUCAAACAACUAGAGAGGGAACAUAGAAAUGACAUCAAAUUGGAGACAACAGAUCUGCGCCAAAACAGUGUUGUGUUUUUGUUGCAUUAUAUUUUUGUGGGCCUGGGUUGGGCUUUAGUUCAUUUCAGUUCUCUUUUAAUCAAUUAGAAUUUUGUAUUAAUUUAUAAUAAAAAAAGUUAUCUGUAUUUAUGUUAUUUUAGGAUAUGUUUUUUCAAUUGGAUGCAUAUAAAUUUGACAUGGAUUUAAAUGAAUAGACCUACAUAGCACUAUAUAAUUACCAGCGCUAUCAACACAUCCGAGCUCCUGGAUGGUCAAUUGGAUGGACAAGCACAAGCACGGGCACGACACAAGCCCGGCCCAGCCCGUUUCAAUGGGGACAUGGGCUUUGGGUCGGGCAGGAUCAAUGAUUUUACUAAAUGGGCAGGCAUGGUAUAGCCCGAUAAAUUAAAUGGACUGCCCCGACACGAUACGAAAACGUUAAAAGUAAGUAUAUAAAUGGGACGGGCCGGCCCAACACGGCCCGUUUGACACCUCUAAGUGGGGGUGAUGGGUUUUUUUUUUUAAUUUUAUUAAAAGUUUUUUUUUUUGCAAAGAAUUUAUUAAAAGUUUAAUUUCGGAGUUAAUAGGUGGACAAGUGUCAAACAACUAGAGAGGGAACAUAGAAAUGACAUCAAAUUGGAGACAACAGAUUUGCGCCAAAACAGUGUUGUGUUUUUGUUGCAUUAUAUUUUUGUGGGCCUGGGUUGGGCUUUAGUUCAUUUCAGUUCUCUUUUAAUCAAUUAGAAUUUUGUAUUAAUUUAUAAUAAAAAAAAGUUAUCUGUAUUUAUGUUAUUUUAGGAUAUUUCAUUAUUGUGGUUUUUUCAAUUGGAUGCAUAUAAAUUUGACAUGGAUUUAAAUGAAUAGACCUACAUAGCACUAUAUAAUUACCAGCGCUAUCAACACAUCAGAGCUCCUGGAUGGUCAAUUGGAUGGACAAGCACAAGCACGGGCACGACACAAGCCCGGCCCAGCCCGUUUCAAUGGGGACAUGGGCUUUGGGUCGGGCGGGAUCAAUGAUUUUACUAAAUGGGCAGGCAUGGUAUAGCCCGAUAAAUUAAAUGGACUGGCCCGACACGAUACGAAAACGUUAAAAGUACGUAUAUAAAUGGGACGGGCCGGCCCAACACGGCCCGUUUGACACCUCUAAGUGGGGGUGAUGGGUUUUUUUUUUUAAUUUUAUUAAAAGUUUUUCUUUUUGCAAAGAAUUUAUUAAAAGUUUAAUUUCGGAGUUAAUAGGUGGACAAGUGUCAAACAACUAGAGAGGGAACACAGAAAUGACAUCAAAUUGGAGACAACAGAUCUGCGCCAAAACAGUGUUGUGUUUUUGUUGCAUUAUAUUUUUGUGGGCCUGGGUUGGGCUUUAGUUCAUUUCAGUUCUCUUUUAAUCAAUUAGAAUUUUGUAUGAAUUUAUAAUAAAAAAAGUUAUCUGUAUUUAUGUUAUUUUAGGAUAUUUCAUUAUUGUGGUUUUUUCAAUUGGAUGCCUAUAAAUUUGACAUGGAUUUAAAUGAAUAGACCUACAUAGCACUAUAUAAUUACCAGCGCUAUCAACACAUCCGAGCUCCUGGAUGGUCAAUUGGAUGGACAAGCACAAGCACGGGCACGACACAAGCCCGGCCCGGCUCGUUUCAAUGGGGACAUGGGCUUUGGGUCGGGCGGGAUCAAUGAUUUUACUAAAUGCGCCGUCAUGGUAUAGCCCAAUAAAUGAAAUGGACUGGCCCGACACGAUACGAAAACGUUAAAAGUACGUAUAUAAAUGGGACGGGCCGGCCCAACACGGCCCGUUUGACACCUCUAAGUGGGGGUGAUGGGUUUUUUUUUUUUUUUUAUUAAAAGUUUUUCUUUUUGCAAAGAAUUUAUUAAAAGUUUAAUUUCGGAGUUAAUAGGUGGACAAGUGUCAAACAACUAGAGAGGGAACAUAGAAAUGACAUCAAAUUGGAGACAACAGAUCUGCGCCAAAACAGUGUUGUGUUUUUGUUGCAUUAUAUUUUUGUGGGCCUGGGUUGGGCUUUAGUUCAUUUCAGUUCUCUUUUAAUCAAUUAGAAUUUUGUAUUAAUUUAUAAUAAAAAAAGUUAUCUGUAUUUAUGUUAUUUUAGGAUAUUUCAUUAUUGUAGUUUUUUCAAUUGGAUGCAUAUAAAUUUGACAUGGAUUUAAAUGAAUAGACCUACAUAGCACUAUAUAAUUACUAACGCUAUCAACACAUCCGAGCUCCUGAAUGGUCAAUUGGAUGGACCUGGCCAAAAAAAGGAAGUCAUUUGGUCUAUGCUUGGAGCGGAAGCAACGGAGAUAGGGAAUUGUUCAUCUUUUAAAGAUGCAAUCCCUGUUGAAAAGUAAAUUGCUUACUAAUUUCUUGUUAGUAAAUGAUUUACCUCUUAGAUUUAUCCCUUGUCCUUUUGUGUAACUGCCUUCUGUUGUAGUAGCUUGAGCUCAUACGCCAAGUGUAGGGUCUUAGAUCAGCUGUCAUCUUCAAUGGCUCAUAUGCCUUGUAAGUGCCAUGUGUCAUAAUCACACUGGCUCAUGUAUUUGAAAGGUUGUGAUGACUGAUGUAAGGAAAUGAGCUGUAUGAAUGAAAGAAACAUCAUUCUGCAACGAACAGAAUGUUGCAGUGAUUAUUCUCCUUCCUUCUGCUCUCUCAUUCUUCUUUUCAUUCUCUCUAGCUCCUUUCGUAAUCCAAAACUUUAACAUGGUAUCGCGAGCCUAGGUUCUAUUUGGAAUCGGGGCAUCGGAUCUGUGAGUAUUGUGCUCGGAAAUCCAACGUGAAGGUUUUGGAGGAGGUGGUGGUGGUGGUGGUGGUGGCAGUGGGGGUGGUUGUGGGGGUAGUGAAUGUGGUGGUGCAAGUGGUGGAAUUGGAUGUGGAAGUGGAGGUGGUGUCAUUUUUUAAAAUGAAUAAUGGUAUUUUUGAGAAUUUAAAAAAUUCAUUAAGGGUUCAACUCUGCUUCUUUUGAAAGCAACUUUGAAAAGCAACCCAGAGCUUGCUUUUAAAAGUUGCUAUCAAAAGGCCAAUGCUUUUAAAGUAAUCGAGAUAUUUUAUUUUUGCGGAAUACCUUAAACUGCUUAACUUUAAAGUGAAGCAAGUUUUUGGCAAAAAAGCAAUCCUAAACGGGGCCUAAUUCUGCAACUUUUGCCACUCUUGUUCAGACCUGUAAAAUCACAUUAACCCAAUUGAGCUCAAAAGCAAUAGGAUUUUCAACCGUUUUUAUAAAUGUUAUUCUAUUUUUCUUAUUAUUUAUUAUCUAUUUUCUUUUUCUUUGAUUAUUUAUUUUACUCGAAAUUAGAAGUUUACCCUUAUAGUGAACGAAAAAUCGAAUGAAAUUCAAAAAACUUAACGACAAUGGAUAAAUUGGCCGUUUUAAUUAAUUUGGAUAUUAAAUUGGAUGACUUUUUGGUUCUGGGAAUUAAGUUCGAUUGGAGUCCUAAUUCGGGGGGGUGUACAAUAAUUUACUCAUAGCAAUAUGAACAUGAGAAUUGAAAAUCAAGUAUUUCAUAUUGCCAUAAGUUGCACUAUAUGAUAUGUAUGGCUUCAAUGUUAAAAUGGUCCAUGUGUUUUAUCUUAUUGGCCAAUUUGGUCCUUGUGUUUGUAUAUGUUAGUCAAUGUAGUCCAUUCUCUUUAAAAUAUAAAAUAUAAAAUAUUUAAAAUUAAUUAAAAAAAACUGUAAUUGAUUAUACAUUUUAAAUUCAAUCUGAAAAAUGGGAUUUUUUUAAUAAUUUUUUUAAUUUCACCUUCCCCAAUUUCACGCUCACACCUCAACCACCUCCCAAACCUAGCCACCAUCACCACCACCACUCCAAACCCAAACCCAUAGCCACCCUCACCACCCUAGCUACCAUUCCAACCCCACCUAAACCACAGCCACUCUCUCUCGCAACUUCCUCUCUAACAAAUCAUGAAGAUCUUUAUAGCCGGUCACCGUAAUCUUAAUGGCUCUGACACCAAUUGAUCAUCCUUGCUGCAGCAAAAGUCGACGAUAUUCAGGCCAAUGAAUCAGAGAGGCGAGAGAGACGAAGGAUAGAGUAUGAGAAAAACCAAGACAAAAAAGAGAAGAAAAAUUGCAGCAAGAAAAGAGUAGGCAUCAAUUUGACUAAGAACCUUUUUUUUUCCUACAGGAAUCGAGACCAUUGGAAGAGUGGAGGUUGAGGUUGUGUGGGUUUUAAUCAUUUUGGCAUUAUUAUUAUUUGAGUUUAAAUCUUUAUAAUUAUUUAUAGAUUUUUUUUAAAAUUAAUUUUAAAUGUCUUUUUUAAGGUUUUAACAUAAUUUUGACGGAAAGGACCAGUUUGCUAUUUACAGGGUAUACCGGCCGGCUAUACUUUGAAAUAUUCUUUUUUGGGGUAUAGCCGAGUGGCUAUACGGUUAAGAUAUUAUAUAUUUGGAGUAUAGCCGUGCGGCUAUACUGUUAAAAUAUUGUAUUUAUGGAGUAUAGCCGUUUAAAGGUACAUAAUAGUAAAUAGAAUAUUUUAACGGUAUAGCCGAGCGGCUAUAUGCUUUGAAUAUAUUAUGUUUUAAUUACUUUUAUUUAUUUAAUGAAGAAUUAGUAUUUAAAUGUUUUAAUUUAAUUCGGUAGAAAUUACUGAAUAAAUACUGAAUAAUUAUAGGAUUCACCUUGACAACCGCCACACACAUUGGGUCAUUCACUCACUCCCGCAUUGGGGGUCCCUCCCCCCUACGCUUUUUGGAUCACAGACGGUAUCUCCCCAUGGCCUUUCGCCUCUGAAAGCGUCCUUCCUUCUCAAUGCCCGGGCAUCCAUCCAAUGCAUUCUUUUCGAUCUUGUACUAAGGUACACUGAACACCAACCCAAUCUCGAAAAGAAAGAAAGAAAAAUACCCGUGAACGGACGCUUUGUCUUUAAUUAUCUUCAAUAAUUAUGUGAAUUUUAAAAAUAGUUUCAUUUAUUUAAAAAUUCUAGAAAAUUAUAUAAGAAUAGGGGCUUUCUCUAUUACGGAUUACAAAUUUGCAGAUUAAAUACGGAUUUCUAUUUGGAACAGUUAGAUGUCAUGGGCGGUGGAGAUUUAACAUAAAAGGCAAAACAUAAAAAAUACCCCUUUGCACUGCCAUUUGAGAAACAAAAAAACAACGGGCAGACCCAUCCAAUCCAGGAGACCUGUGCUUCUCUUUUGUAUUUCCCACCAAAGAAACAUUUCUUCCCCGUGCUUUUCUGAGUUCUCUCCCACCUGAAGAAUUUUGCUCCAAGAUUUACUCCAUACCAAGGGGCAAUAGCUCAAACAACAGAGAUUGAGAACCAAAAUAGUUCACACCAAACUAAAUUAAAGUGCAAUCACUGACAACAAACAAUAAGAGCUUCUCCACAAGAGUUAAUUUUUCUCUAGUUUUUAUUUUUAUUUUUUCUGACAGCAAACCCAAGAGGCACCAACCUCUCCUCAAAUCUCUCAGAAGAGUCUCUCAACAGUUUUUUCUAUUUCCUUUUUCCUUGCACCGAUGGAAUCAGACGCAGAAGACACCAAGUACCAAAUGACCCAAAACCUAGACUUCACAGCCUCCUCCCUAUUUGGUGCUGGUAUUGACAACUUGACAAGCGAUGGCCUGCCUCCUCCUUGAGUGAUAAUGUUCAUAAACCCACCUGAAGAAUUUUGCAAGAGAAAUGUUACAAGAUGAUACAAGGUCAAAUACAAGUGGUAGCAUUACAGUCUUUAAUGGCAUACGAAUCCAAACUCAUAUGAAUACAAGUGGUAGCAUUACAGUCUUCAAUUUUCUUGGAUUUAUCAAAACCGCUACCCUAUGUAAUGAUGUUUUUAUGAAAAUAAUAUACUUUGUGUAAUGCAUUUUCUAUCAGUAUAAAUUUAUAUUUUUCCUGAGCCAAAACAUUAAAAAAAUGAAAACAUAAUCAUGAUGGAUCCAUAAUACUAUAUUUAAUAUUGAAUGCUAGUUAAUGUUCAACGUUUGAACCUGUGCAACGUAUAUUAUAGCUCCCUCACAUACGCAUAACACAUUUGGUACAAUUUAAUUUUAAACAAGAAAUUUUGUUAUAUUUAGAACAAAGUGUUUGUCUUCUAUUCGCAAAAAUAAGUUAAAAUUAUGUUGGAAUAAAAUUAAUAAAUCCAGAACCUUACUUUAGCCCUUAACAUGUUACUCACAGAAAGAUUUGUACGGUGGUUCUCUUACACAGACGUCCGGUAAGGAAAAUUAUUUAAUGUCAUCAUGUAAGGAAAAUAUUUUUUUUGUCUUUUUUUUUUACAUAACGAAUUGAACAUAUUCCACAAAUAUUUGUUGAUCCUUAUAUGAAUCCAAAUACUCCAAGAUAGUAUGCAUGCAACAAGUACAGAACCACAAAAUAGACAAAUCCCACAAGCAAGUAGUCUGCAUUAUUCGCAAAAUCUGAAGAAGCAAGUAGAAACCGAAACUGCUGGAUGACACAUUUUACCCAUUAUCAUUGUUGUAGUCAAUUUGUCUACAAGUGCUCCAACUUCCAUCCAUGGUUGCCUUCACAAUUAAAAUUGAUUUCUACCCUUUACAACAUAGUGACCCACACCACAUGGAAACCUUUCAUUGUAAGGAUUUUUACGCAAGCAAUUCUUUGAAACUAAUUACAAGUUGAUGAAGAUAAUGGGGCUGAAAUGUACUCAGACAUUAGAAAGAGUCAAAGACAAGCCUUUUAUGAACAAUUUCGGAAAUGGGGUAAUUACCUGCGCUGAGAGACAGAGAUGAAAGCGUCGACCUUUCUUUGGGGAAGCAAUGGUGUAAUCUUGUUGCUCUCUUGCCUCUGUUUUGGGGUUUUAUGAAUUGAACCAUUUUGGGGGACUUCAAUUUUUUGCCUCUGUAUUCUAAGCUAAGUUCCAUCCAAUUGAUGAACCGUAAUCACAUAAAUUUUUGGUUUUUUUUUUUUUGGGUAAGAAAGAACCCCUAACAAACCAAAGAAACUAAGCAACACUAAUCAUACGAUGUUUAGAGACAACCCCAACAGUUCAUCGGCCAACACCGAGCCAAGCCAACCGGGAGACGCAUACACAGGUCCAGAAUCCAGAUUAUGACUCCAAGUAGCAAAACUGUCAGUAUUCUUCUCCCUAUAAUUAUGAUAAGUCUCAUAGCUCUCAAACUUGUCUAGGAUCUCCAAGCAGCUGGAAACCAACGCAGCAAGAGGAUGGAGGCAAUGAAGUUUACAGUAUCUAUGAAAGCGUAUAGCCGCGCGGCUUUACUGGGGUCGUUUUCCUGUUAAUUAUUUUUUUAUAAAAAUAACACGCGCUAGGCCGGUCCUCUUCUUUUUUUUUACUUUUUUUUCCCUAAAUAGUAGCGCCGCGCGGCUAUACUCCGAAUUAUUUUUUUAUACAAAAAGAGUAUAGCCGCCCGGCUUUACUGUUGUAAUUUUUAAUUCUUUUUUAUAAAUAGUAUAGCCGCUCCGCUAUACUUUGAAUUAUUAUUUUUAUAUGUAAAAAGAGUAUAGCCGCACGGCGUUACGGGGGGUUUUUUUUUUUUUGAAAAAUUCUUUGUUAGGCUAUACUCUUUACUGUUUAAAUGAAAAUUGACUGACCAUAAAUAAAAAUUAAAAAUUUUGACCCAAAAAAUACACAUACAAAAUUCAGGUUAAAUGAUAAUAAAAAUUUAAUUUGACAAAGAAGAAGAGAAUAAAAAUUGAGUGUUGCUAAAUGAACCCUAAAAUUAAUUGAGUACACCCUACGAUAAAAAUAUAUAUUGAAUUAUUGAUUUAUCCUAAUAUAAAAUGACCAAAAAGGAUAAAUAAAAUUGUGAAACAAAUACAAUUUUAAUAAGUACAUCCUACUAACUAUAUUCAACCAUAAUCAAAAAAUUACUUGUCCUAUUGUGUUUUUAACGAAAGAUGUGGUAAUUACAAGAACUUGGAAUUGCAAAAAAAAGUGUCAAUAGUUUUAGUAUAAGCAUAAAUCCAUAUGAAAAGUCAAAGAUUUAUAAACACUAUUUAAAAAAAUUAAGCUAAAAUUUAACUAUAAAAUAAUAAUACAAGUAUUAGAGUGUAUCAAGGAUAUUUUUAAUAGUUUUAUAGGGUGUACUUAGUUAAUUUUAUAUUUUAAUUCAAAUAUUAUGAUCUAUAUAGAUCAUAGACUCAGAUAAUUUUAAAGUUCGUUUAGUAACUCUUUGAGAAUUUAAUCAAUGACCCUGCAAAUCUACCCUGUAACUAUGUCCUCCUGACCGCUGGGCAUGAGGCGCCGAAACACAGAAGAGUCAGCGAAUUGACUUCACGCCAACUCCAAGCAAUCGAAAAUUCUCCCAAAAAUUAUUCCAAAACUCGGGAAAAGUCAUUUCUUGCUGUUUCGCUUUCACGCGUUAACAGCUUCGACCAAACACCGUCUUGCUUAACGGAUACCGUUUCCCAAAAUUUGGGACAUUUCAGCUUCCGAAAGAUGAGUUCUUGACUCGCCCCCAAGAUUCGGCUUUCUUUGUUGGGUUCAAUUUCGACGACCCCAUGGCUGCGCCCAACUCCAUUGGCAACACCGAAAUCAAUUGGGACAAGUAUGUUCUUUGUUUCGAUUUUCACUUUUUGUUUGAUUCAUUGACAAGUCCCAUUGCUUGCUUUUUAUCUGUUAUCUUUUGGGUUAUAACUGUUAGUUUUUGUUGAGAAAUUGGUGCUGUAGAUUGAUUGACUGUAUUGCUGGGAAAUGUUGAAUUGAUUAUGGAAUUAGAAACGACAUCUAAAACGUAUCUACCCUAUUGAUUAAUAUGGAUUUGAUUCUCAAUUAAGUGAAUAUUGUGCUCUGUUGAACUCAUUAAGUUUGUAUCCUUAUUUAUGCAGGCUUGAUAAGACUAAAUUUUAUGCUGUGAAAUGUUGGAUUGAUUAAGGAAUUAAAAAGGAAAUCUAAAACCUACCCACAGAUUGAUUAAUAUGGAUUUUGUUCUCAAUUAAGUGAAUUCUGUUCUGUUGAACUCAUAAGUUUGUAUCCCUACUUAUGCAGGCUUGAUAAGACUAAAUUUUAUGUGGUUGGAGCUGGCUUGUUUACAGGGGUCACAGUGGCACUGUACCCGGUUUCUGUUGUGAAAACCAGGCUUCAAGUUGCUUCCAAAGAUGCUCUGGAGAGGGAUACAUUUUCUGUGGUUAGAGGCAUUUUGAAAGCAGAUGGUAUUCCUGGUUUGUACAGAGGUUUUGGCACUGUAAUCACUGGUGCAAUUCCUGCUAGGAUUAUAUUUCUCACUGCUUUGGAGACCACCAAGGUGGCUGCUUUCAAGAUGGUUGAGCCCUUCAAGUUAUCUGAGCCUACAGAGGCAGCUUUGGCUAAUGGACUAGCUGGGAUGACCGCCUCACUUUUCUCUCAGGCUGUGUUUGUCCCUAUUGAUGUGGUAAAUACCUUUACAGGCUCUAUCGCAUGUCUUGCUUGAGCAUUUUUGUAGUUAGGGGUUUGAGAUAACUAAUUUUUGAGCAAUGGGUUUUCUUUAGAUUAGUCAAAGAUUGAUGGUGCAAGGGUAUUCGGGCCAUGCAAAGUACAGCGGGGGGAUGGAUGUUGCUCGUAAAGUUAUAAAGUCAGAUGGCAUCCGGGGAUUGUAUAGAGGGUUUGGACUUUCUGUUAUGACUUACUCUCCAUCUAGCGCUGUAUGGUGGGCUAGUUAUGGUUCAAGCCAGCGCUUAAUCUGGAGGUGAGACAUGGUAAUCUGAUAACUAUUGACUCUAGUUCUGUAGAGCUCUUUUAUUCUAAGACUAGGCCAAGUAAGUUUCAGUAAAUUUAGAUCUUUUAAAUGUGUGUCAGCAAUAUGUAAUUGAGAUUUUCUGUUGGACAUUCUAUUUUUAUCUUAAGCAGCAAUCUUCAUUUAAUGAUUUAAUGAUAUGAGUUUCUUUGCCUUGUGGCCAUGACAAACACAUUAAAACUUUGGAGGUGCAUCAGUUUGAUGGUUGUUUUAGGUGGUUUCCAUUUGAGUGCGUUAGUGGAACAUGAUAGUUAUGUUGGAAAAGUUAGGAAGUAUGAGUUGUUGGAAGUAAUCAUCAGGUACUGUGACUUUGUUGGUUGUUAGGCUUUAUUCUUAGAUAAACGAUCCUGUUGUAUAGGAAGUCUAAGGUUCAUUAAGCCAAUGAACUUCUAUAAUUACUACUACUAAGGGCAACGGACUUCAUUCCCUUUAGAUAAAGAACUAAGGUGAAGGAGUUUAGGUGAAUCAUACCCUUUUGUCAAAAUAUCUCACAUUUGCAUUAUUCUGGUUCAUUAAGCAGUUUCUUAGGCCAGGGAAGUGGUUCUGAUGAAGCUGUUCCUGGCUUGGGGAAAAUAGUGUUGGUUCAAGCUGCUGGAGGAAUUGUUGCAGGUGCAACAGCAUCCUGCAUAACAACCCCAUUGGAUACCAUAAAGACUCGGUUACAGGUAUUCAUAUAACCAUUAAUGUAUGUGGUUACUUUGCUAGCUUGUAGCUUGCUCAUCUUCAUUUGACCAAGUUAUUACUAAUAUGUGUUUUUUUUUUAAUAAUAAUUAUUCCUGCACUAUAGGUGAUGGGACACGAAAAGAGACCCACUGCAAGAGAAGUUGUUAAAGGCUUGAUAAGAGAUGAUGGCUGGAAAGGUUUCUACAGAGGGCUAGGUCCAAGAUUUUUCAGCAUGUCAGCCUGGGGCACGUCAAUGAUAUUGGCUUAUGAAUAUCUGAGUAUGGGCUCUUACCUAUUAUGCUUCCUUACCAUAUAUUUUGGGUCUUUUCAUGAUCUUUCUUUCACAUCAUGUUUUCCUUACCUAAGAUUCAACUUCUAGGCUCAAGUUUCUUUAAAAGUCAUAUAUAACACUAUGUGAAGGGAGAACACUUGUGCAAUCUAUAUAUUCAGGAAUGAUGAAUUCCUCCUUUUUGGCAUAUUCUUCUUCAUUUUUUCCCUUCUUGAAAAGUCCUGCUAUGUGGUUUCUCAUGAUACUUGCAAAAACCCAAAAUUUGAAAUUUAAUUUCUAUUAUUGUUUCCUUGUCUUUCAGAGCGCUUGUGUGCAAAAGAUGAAUAGAGGUCAUUCUUCUUUCGGUCCACUUAGCAUGGAAUUAUAGGAAUUUUGUUCUGACGUGGGCUGGUAUUGAGCAUUUCUGAUGAAGGCUUUAGACUGGUAAAUUCAGAAUUGGGAUUAUGGACACUGAAGCCUUUUCGUUAGUUUUGAUCGGGCGAUUGGUCCUGAUAUUAUUUGAUGCUUUACUUACUAAAUUUUGGAGAAGUCCUCAAAUUCUUUUAGGAAUUUCUCUACUAGAUAGUAGUGAUAUCAUUCUUCGGGUAAUUGAAUUUAUUUGAGCUGUAGGAAGUGCCAAUUUUUUGUUCUAUAGCAAGUGUACCUUCACCCCGAGCAAGGAAUUUGAACUUAUUAACACAGUUCUUUUUAUAAAAAAAUUUUGUUGCUAUAUUGUCCCCUUUAGGUGUAAUUCUCAAUAAUUUAGAACACCAAAUUCAUUCACCAGAAAUUAUUGUAAUUGUAAAUGUACUUUUUUAUAGUUGAAAUGUUUGAUCUCUGAAAUUAUUGAUGAUUGUUACGUGUUAAACUAGUUAUGGAGUAAAUCAAAAGAUAUAAUGAACUUAAAACUUAGGCUGGACCCAUGGUGUGGCAAAAUAGUAGUUUCCACUUCCCAUGGUGAAAUUUACACCAAAGCUUUCAACAAAUCCCCAGUUGGUUUGGUACAAAAACUUAACAGAAUCAUUGGCAAAUUUACUUUUAGAUGGAUGUGCAUAUUGAGCUUUUUAUGAAUUUUGUGGGAGAAAACCCAGAGAUACCAAAAGAUAUGCUAUGUAAACUUGACAUGGAUGUCAAUAUUGAGCUUUAUGAAUUUUGUGAAAUUAAAAAAACCCGAAGAUAACAAAAGGAUGAUAGAACUUUAUAAAGUAGUGAGAGUGAAUUUACACCAAUACAUGGAUGAAAAUCACCUCAAGAUACCAUUUACAUCUAGUGGCUUCAAAUUCUUGGUCCUGGUUUUCUUAUACUCUGACUGGUUUCUCCAAUACAGCUGAGAAGAAGAGCUCAUCUCCAAGCUUAUCAGUCUUAGGUACAACCCUCCAUAGUAAUGGCUUGUAGCCUAACCUGUUAAACUCAUCCAAAUACAACUUCAUGUCCUCCUUAUGACAGAAGAAGCGGUCUAUCCAAAGAAGGCCCUUUGGCCUAAGGACACGGUCCCAAUCAAACAACACAAACUGAAGGAGUUCAAUUCCUAUCCAGCCAUCCAAGAACGAAGUAGAGUGGAUCAUGUCAAGGGUAUUGUCAAAGAAAGGCAAUCUUGAGCCAAUUGAUGUGUAAAGAGGAAGAAGGCCUCUUAAGGCAAUGACCUCAUUGAAAGGAGCCCCUAAGUUUAAGGUACUAGAAGCAAUGGUAACAUUCUUUUCCCUCAUGAUAGAAGCAAAUGUUCCUGUUGUCAGGCUAAAAUCUAGGCCGAUUCUGAUCUCCUCUGGCUUUAACCCUAGAAAUUCAUCAAUGGUGAACUCUGCUGAUUCAGACUUGUUUGUUGGAGUAUCCCACCCUUUUUUUGAAAGAUUGAAGCAGUCCGAGCAUUUGAAGAAGCCUCUUCGGUCCUUGGUUUCUUUGGAGACAAGGCAAGAGUAGUCUUUGCACUUGUAAUUGUUCCAUAAGAUGUUAGCACCACUAGGUUGAGUCCAAAGGGAGGAGUUUAUAGAAAAUGGCUUGGUGUAGUGUGGAGGUGAUUUUGUGAAGCAUCUUCUUCUUGGUAAUGGAUCACAUCCAUGAACUAUAAGCUUCUGAGCUAUUUCCCAAUCAUCCGGGCAUGUACUGUGAACCUUGUAACUCAUAAACCGGUCUAAAUUGGUGACCAUAUUAGCACAAGCCAACCCAAUUGAUGGAGUUACUGCUUCUACCCCAAGAAAAUUCUUCUUCCCAAUUAGCCUGUUUUGUUUUGGUGAAGUGUAAUUGUGAAUCUCACCUGAACUGAAGACCUUCCCACCCAUAAACUGUUCUUCAGCUUCCUCGGGAUCACUGAAAUCUUCAUCGACAUUGCUCAUCUCAGCUUUAGCAGGGGGAGAAUUCCUGUAGAGCCUUGAUAAGCUAUCUGCAAGUUUGUCCAAAGAAAUGGCAAUGUGAAGCACCUGAUCCGAAAAUUUCGCAAUUGCUUUUGAGUCUGAACUUUCAUUAUGCAGCUGCUCCAGUAAAACCCCCAGUUGGAUCUGCAAACGAGAGAUAUCUCUGUGCAGGGAAUGAGGCAAAACAAUUUGGUCAUGGGAGGUAUUGGCAAAAGUAGCAAAAAUGGAUUGUGGAUAUGAAACAUUGAAGCCAAAAAUGAAAACUGUGAGGGGGCUGACAAGGAGAAUAGCACAUAACAUUGCGGCAAGAAGGCAUCUGACUGGCUUAGAGGAGCUUUCCUUCUGCAUUUCUAAGAAGGGUUAUUUUUCUUCCUUAACACUUCUUCUGGGGAAAACAACCAUUUGAACUGUUCAUUCAAUCUUUCAAGCUGUUGACUGGAAGAGUGAAGUGGGAUCUAAUUCUCUUAAUUUUCUAUUGCGUUUUCAAUAAUCCCUAGGUGCAUCUUACCAUACUUUAUAGUCAGUUUUCUUUGAACCUAAGUCACCCCUCGUAGCAAACCAUCUUGAUCUAUGAUAAUAUUAAACUAAAUGUUUUGCCAACUUUCACAUAAGUUUUCCCCAUGCAGAGCAUUUUGUACACAAUCUGCAUAAAUUUGUUAGUUUUUUACAUAUUAAGUGAAAUAAAUUGAGAUAAUCAUUGGCUUUAUUCACUAAUGAACAGACUGAAUAGGGGUAAUGGCCAGAUUAGGUGGAAUUAGCAUUUGAUUUCUCAACUAUAGAACUUGGAAGAACAAGAGCGCUUUAGUUUCUCAUAUGGAACUCAAUUAAUACAUAAACUCAAACAACAUUUGAGGGUUCUUGUGCAUAAAGCACUUGUACAAAAACGAAGAAUCAACGGCUAUAAGAAAGAAAGAAGAAGAAGAAAACAAGAAAGAUGUUGAUCGUUUAAACUCUUCAAGACCUUCUUCAUAGGGGUUGAAGGGCUGACUUCCACUUCCAGAGUAAUGGAAAUAUCUUUGUCCAAAAUUGCGACUGAGAGUACAAAGAGAUGCCUCAAAACUGCCCAAAACAAAGACAACAAAUUUGUGUCUGUAACUUAUCAUCAUCAUUGUUUGUAAUUUGUAAAUGUAAGAGUCCACACUGCAAAAGCUAUUGAAAUACUACCUCUAUUAAUUACAAACAUGGUCCUCAUUUUCUUCUUCUUCACCUUCUUCAUCAUCAUCAUCAUCAUCAUCAUCAUUAUCAUCUCUGCUUGCCUCUGCAUAUUCUUCAAGUGAUGCAGAGGGGAACAAAUCCCCAGCCUUGUCAUCUUUGUUGGUUGCCGCUUUCACUAAACCAGUAGCUUUGCCUGCGUUCAUCUGUUGCAGUACAAUUUGAGCUUACAAAGUAUGCAACUUUAUUCAUAGACAAUACAAGAAGCUCAAAAAAACAAAUGGGUUUCCAUUAGAGAACAUACCGCACGUAUCAGUGUCCUCCUAUCUCUUUCUCGAGCAUUUUUUAUGGCCUGCACGUUAUAAGUUGAUAAAACAAAACAAACCCAUCAAUCUCAUUAGCCCAUUUUUGAAUGCAAACGCAAUUAGAGAAUUAAAAAAGAAAAAAUAAAAAGAAAAACAAACCUCCUGAAGCUUUUUUUGCUCAGCUUCCACUUCCGAAGGGUCUUUUCCAACGAUACGUUCGACACGGCAACAGCACUUUGCACAAACACCUUGUUCCUUGGCGCAAGCAGAACAGAGUUUAUGGUGAGACUGACGAACGGCGCGCUUGGUACAACGUUGGCACUUGGUUGGCUCCGUUAGGGUCUUGUACUUGCCGUAACGGCGUUUCCAUUCGAUCUGCUCCUUACAGCGAGGGCAGACCCCCGUAAUAUCCGACAGCGGCCUGAACCGGCCUCCGACCUCCGUUUCGUUGAUUUUGACGCCGAGGUUGGGCUUCCAUGCGAAUUUGUUUUGGUGCCUACCGUUCAUCAUAAUUCCCUACACUUCUCAGAGCAAAUACAGCUUACGAUUUUGAAAAUGCAAAGCAAAAGCAAUCAACUGUGCUUUGGGAGUUGCAGAAAUUCAAUUCAUAUGCCCAACCCAAAAGAAAGAGAAGAAACUAGGGUUUUAGCGAAGGCGGAGAAGACUAACCCGAUUUAAAAUUUGGGUUUCCUGACCCGAAUUCGAUUUGGAUUGGGCUGUCCUGAAAAUAAUUUAGGGUUUUGGGUCAAUUUAGCUCUUGGGCAAGUAGACAUAAAGUAGCCCAACAAAUUUUGGGUUGGAUUUUGAAAUUAAAGUCAUGCUAUUUUCACAUGAGGUAAUACCAUCUUUGAUAAAGAAUAAAGGGCAUCAACAGUAAAAUUAAAUGUUUGAAAAAAAAUAAAAACAUUCUGAUGUAGAACCCAAUCAGAGCAUGGCAUGUAGGAUCUAUGGUUGGGAGUACAAUGCUUGUAUGCCGGCAAUAUCAUCACUGUGCAAAGCCCUCUUAGUCUUUCCAGCAGAAACGUAGGUUCGUGCGUAGCCACCCACACCAAGUCAAAUUGGUUCUUGCUUGGUGGCAUGAAGCUCCAGUUCUCAUCAGCAUCCACGUGUAGCCUUCCAUCUGUGGGCCAAAACCUUACCCGGCCCAUCAAACAGGCUCCCGUCUCCAUGAUCACGCUGUUGAAAACUGAUCCUAAGGACAGCAGGUGACCCCAGCCCCACCUCCUGAAAUGUAAAUAUGGAUUCCUUGGCCCACAAUCCAAAUGCUUGGUUACAUGCCAGUGUCAAGGCCAACGGCCCAGAUUUGGUUUGGGCUCCAUGCUCAAAUUUGUAGGUGGUGAGAUGAUGCUUUGUGGGUGGCCAUUUCUGAUUUCCAGAAGGCAUAGUGUGAAUCCAUCUGAGUCCCAUGCCCAUGUUGACCAUUACAUUUUCGUUGACCAACCACACCUUGGAGUGGUAAUUAGAAUUUAGAUCCAUGGUCUCUGAAUCAAGGUUACCUGUAAUAUUCAAAUGAUAGUUUCUUUGGAACACUUUUAUUGCAGAUUCUAAAAGCUUAUCAUAUCCAACGGUUUUUCAUGCCCUACCUAUCAGUCACUACCUUAUUUUUCAGACAACAUAUGUACAUCUUUGCAUACUGAGUUGUUUCAAGUCGCAAUCAAUCAAUGUUAGGUGGGGGUCUUCCAGAUCUUGCGCUAUGCUUUUCACAUGGAGAUCAUGUGUCAUUUACAAUUACCUGACUCUUUCAUGUUAACCCCACUAUAUUAUGCUUCAAAAAUAAAAACCCUACUAUAUAAUACAGAAAAUAACCCUACAUGCAAGUAGAUGCUUUGUAAUCUUACAUAUCAGAGAUCAUUUUCUGUGAACACACCCAAAUAAUGCAAAAACAGAACCAGAAUACUGAUUGGCUAGGCAAAUAUUAUGUGCUGCACGCGAAAGAUUUCUCUUCGAAGCAAAAACGGUUGGAGAUAGGAGGUUGAACAGAGUUUGUAUGGCCAAGUAACUAGCAAAAUGUAAAAACUUCUCUUCUGGGAUGGAUGAGCAACUAGCUAAGGAGGCAAUAAAAGCAGGUAGACCAUUGAUCUUGCGUUAAUAGUCAUGUAUAUGUUUUGUGAUGUACAUUUUAUAGUGCAGAAUGGUCUUUAGAUAAUUUUCUGUUAUUUUACAUCCUGGGAGUAAGUCCAUAUAUACUUCUUCUUCCAAUUCUCCAGGUAAGAAUGCAUUUUUGACAUCAAACUGAUGUAGUGGCCAAUCGAAAUUUACUGCAUCCUACUGUCUUCUUUCCACGAGGUAAGGGCACGAGUUCCCAUGUGACAUUCUUUUGGAGAGCUCGCAUUUCUUCAUUUAUAGCUUCUUUCCAUUUUGGGUCUUCUAGUGCUUCAGUUACACUGUUGGGGACAGAUAUGUCAGCCAACUGCUUCACAUAGUGCACACGUGACCCUGAUAAUAGCUGAGAGAUAUAUAAUUAUUGAUGGGGUAUUUUCCUUUGGCUUUAAGAUCUGCUUCAUAUUGUACUCGAGAUUUGCCACGGUUCUUCCUUUCUAGAAGCUGAUAUGUAGGCUCUGUGCCUUCUGAAAUCAAAUCAUCAUGGGAUAUUUCAUUAGUGUUAUCAGUUUCAAGAAAAGAUGUUACCUGAAUGACUUCCCCAGCAGGUGAUUGGUGCGGUACUGGAGCUGAAGCAGGUAAAAUCUCAUAAACCGGUUCAAUUUUCUUCUCCUGAUUUGACAGCGUGGAGACAACUUAAAGUUUUCCUCUGGCGACUGGUCGCUGUCUGCUGGCGACAGGUCGUUUUGAAGCAGGUUCUCUGUAGUUGAAGAACUAAGGGGGGCGACUGGUUACUUUGCACUAGUGACGGGUCAUUUUGAUGCAAAGUGACGUCCUGGGGGAAAAAAUCGAGAAUUGGAGCAGUCGUGGAUUCUCGAUUCUCCUAUUGGGCUGUUGAAAAAUAUAAUUCAUGUUUCCAAAACACAACAUCUAUGGAGGUAAAGACCUUCUGACUAAGAGGAUGAUAACAUCGAUAUGCUUUCUGAUGAGGUGCAUGGCCAAUGAAAACACACUUUUCGGCUCGGGGAUCCAAUUUGCUUCAUUGGUGAUCAUGUAAGUGGAUAAAUACAACAUAGCAGAAAAUCCGGGGUUCCAAGUUUGGGGUGGGAGGUGUUUGGAUAUGGUGGUGAAGUGUUUGAAGUGGUGUUUGGAAAUUUAUGAUACUAGAGGGAAUCCGAUUGAUAAGGUAUGCUGCAGAUACGACGGCUUAGCCCCAAAAGGAUCAUGGCAUAUUGGCACCAAAGAGAGAGGCACGAACGACUUCUGUUAGGGAGUGUAAGGGCAUGAGCGUUGAUGUAUGAUGCCAUGAUCUUGUAAUAACUGGUUUAGAUCAUGGUUGAGAAAUUCUCCGCCAUUGUCAGAAUAAAGAACCUAAAUUAUGGCAUGAAACUGAGUCUCCAUAAUUUGAUAAAACUGUUGAAACCUGGAACUAACUUCCCCUUUAUUUUUGAGAAGGGAAACUCAAGUCAUGCGUGUACAAUCAUCUAUAAACGUGACAAACCAUCGCACCCCUGACGAAGUGGCAAUUUUAGCAGGUCCCCAAACAUCAGAAUGAACAAGAGAAAACAGAACCAAACUCUUAUCUGAACUUAAUGGGAAUGGGACAUGAUGACUCUUGGCCAAUUCGUACGUAUCACAUUGGAAGCUAGAAACAUCAAGAUUGAAAAAUAAUGAUAAAAACAAUUUCUUAAGAUAACCAAACGAGGCAUGCCCAAGACGUUUAUGUAAUAACCAAAUUUUGUCUCUCUCCUCCUCAGAACGAGUUCCACUAGUUGUGAAAGCUUGAUCAACCUUGACCUCACUAUCUGGUGCCCAGUUCAAGUAGUAGAGUUUGCCCCGCCGAGUAUCACAACCAAUCGUCUUUCCUGUGAGGAUGUCCUGAAAAACACAAUGAUUCGGCCAAAAUGUUAUAGUACACCCCAAAAUAGUAGUAAGUUGCGCAACAGAUAGCAAGUUAUGGUCUAAAGAUGGAACAAGUAAUACAUAAUCCAGAUGUGGGGAAGUAGAGAGAGAUAAAGAGCCCUCCCUAACCACAGGGGAGGGGUACCAUUAGCAUUAGACACCAUCAGCGGAGUGGAUGAUUUGCGACUAAUAAGUUGGCCAAGAUCAAAUGUCAUGUGAUCUGUAGCACCCGAGUCGAUAAUCCAUGCGGAUUUUUGAGAUGACGUAUGAAAAGUAGAACCGUUGGUGGUGGCGAUAUAAGCAUAAGUCCUGGUAGCCGGGUCAGCAGGAUUGACCGCAUGCUUCUGUGAGUCUGCAAUAAGGAGGAGAAUCGUAGAGGUUCCUGACAUCGUAGUGGAAGUAAGAUGUGAUAUGAGAAUGUGAGAAACUGUGAUUGGAGGAAUUUGAUGUAGGAGUUGGAUUUGAGAGUUAUCUAUUUAGGGAUUUUGAUAAGAGGAUUUGAGGACUUUAGAUUUGAGGGAUUUGGAUUUGGGGAAAAAUAUAAGGAAUUUGAUUUAGAGUUUUGGAUUUGAAUAUGAGAAAUUUGAGAUAAGAGUUGACAAACAAUCUAGGAUCGAUUGCUCUGAUACCAUGCUAAAAUAUGAAUAUGGUUUGAGUACUUUGAGUUAGGUUUUAUUCUUCUCCAUAAGGAGGUAUAUAUAGGAAUUUACAUGAGUGCUUUACAAGGAAAUAGAUACAGUAAUCAAUUAAGAUAAUAUCUCGUAAUUAUACAAUGAUUUGUCAACUAUAUAGAAUAGGAAAAUAAAUCCCUUAAUUAAUCAAGGAAAUAAAUCUCCUUGAUUAAUUAGGUGACUCUCGUCAAUCUUCACUUACCCAAUUGAAAUCACAACCAAAGCCUUACAUAUGGGCACGAAGUACAAGAUCAUUCACCGCGAUGUGAAGAGCACGAACAUCUUAUUGGACGAGAAAUGGGUGGCUAAGGUUUCGAAUUUCGGACUUUCGGAAAGACCCAUAUCAACCGUGUCAAAGACUUGUGAAUUGUUCCAAGUCCACGGCCAACCCAAAAAAGAAGUUUAAGUUGUUAUCAAAGUCUCUAUUAAAUUGACUAAUGUUGAUCAAGAAUCUUGAAUUUAGAGUAGAUGCAGCCAAAAGCUUGACUUGGAAAAGUCCAAAACAAGAAGUUUAAGUUGUUAUCAUAGUCUCUAUUAAAUUGACUGAUGUUGAUCAAGAAUCUUGAAUUUAGAGUAGAUGAAGCCAAAAGCUUGACUUGGAAAAGUCUUUGAUGAUCAUGUGUAUGUCCCCACUUGUGCAAUAGAAAUUCCAAUCAGGGAUCCACACACCCACACAUAACAUAUCUUUAACUCUCCAUAUAUAUUCCUCUUAUAUCGAGAGGUCUCUCAGAUAAUUUUAUUUGAAGGAUACCAUUUAGAAACUCGCACAAAUUUUUUUUCAACGAUCUAAAUUAUCUAUUUUUUAAGUUUACAUUCAUAGAUCAUCCUUGCAAAAAAUUAGACAAAUCGGAAACCGUUUCAAUAUCCAAUUGUGUCUUACAAAAUCAAUAAACACGAUACUUCAAGAAAGUACUAAAUUUUCAAUAAUUCAAUUGAUAUCGGAUUCAAGUGAUUUUUUGUAAAGAUGAACUUUGAAUGAGUAUCUACAAAAUAGACAGUUUGAAUGAAUGAAAUACAAUAUGGAAUGGGCCCUACAAAAAUGUUCGUCAAAUAAGUUUAUUUGUCAACCAAAAUUAUAUAUAUACAUCAUGAACAUGUAUAUAAUAACCAAAGCAUCAAACACACACCUUGAUACAAUUACCAUGUUGUUAUCUCAAGCUCCACCAGAGAAACUUCCCAACCUUUUGACCUUUCUAUCUCCGAGUCUCUCUACCCACGUCGUUGAUGACGAGAUAUGGAAAGGGCAGCAGCAGUGACACAGAUUUUUCAUGCACAAGACUUACUAUAUCUUGACUGAUAUGUUGAUCCAAAAUAAUCUUUAAUAAUUUGAAGUACGUAGCCAGCCAGCCCCCUAAUAAUAAUUCUUUGAUUGAAUAGAACCCAACCCAACCAGCUUGCUAUAAAGCAGAGCAGCAGCCUUCCCACUUCAUCCACCACCCACACAACACACCUGAAACCACCCUGUCUUUCUUACCAUGAAGAAGAACGUCCCAAUUCUUACUACUCAACUUUACCUUUCCUUGUUUCUCCACAUUAUCACCGGCCUACUCGUGGCGGCUAGAGAUUCACCACCUAUCUACACUCCGGUGGAAGAUAUCACGGUUAAAUGUGGCUAUUCCGGCAACUUAUUAAAUGAAUAUGAUGAACGACAUUGGCACGGAGACAUCAACUCAAACUUUUCCCCCACAACUGGCAGUGACACAUCCAUGUUCAGAGAAGUACCUCAUUCGUACACCGUCCACCAAGUGGCUUACACCACAGCGCGCCUUUCGCGCUCUGAAUUUACUUACAGUUUUAAACUCACUUCCGGCCAAAAGUUCAUCCGCUUGUAUUUCAACCCAGUUUCAUAUGGUCCUGACUUUGACCGAUCUAAAGCCCUCUUCUCAGUCAAAGCCAGUGGCUUUACCCUUCUCCACGACUUCAACACUUCAGUCACUGCCGAUGCGUACGGAACAGAGACGAUAUACAGAGAGUUCUGUCUCAACGUGGAGUCAUCAGAACAGAGCUUGAACAUCACCUUCACUCCGAGUCCGAGACUAGCAAGCCCAGAUGCGUAUGCGUUUAUCAACGGCAUUGAAAUUGUAUCCAUGCCCACCAAUCUUUACUUCACUGCAGCCCAAAGAUUUGGGGUAGGACUCGUAGGAAACAACUUCAAUUUUCACAUCGAAAACAACUCUGCUCUGGAGACGGUGUACCGAAUAAACGUUGGUGGAAAGUCAUUAUUUUUCAGUGAAGACACUGGCAUGUAUCGCAACUGGGGAAGCGAGCAAGAAGAGCCCAAGUACUUAGAUGAUUUAAGCAUUGAGUUUAGUGUUUUACCACAAAACACUAGUAUUGAACUCGACUUUGCCGGAAUAGCAGAGUACUAUGCUCCAAAAGAAGUUUACCAAACGGGCCGGUCUAUGGGCAUGAACAAGACCAUAAACAAGAGCUAUAAUCUCACUUGGAAUUUUCCAGUUGAUCCCAAGUUUUAUUACCUGGUUAGGCUUCAUUUCUGCGAGUUUGAACCUGACAUUGUCCAACCCAGAGACCGAAACUUUCUAAUCAACAUAGCCAACGUUGUCGCUGAAGAAGAAGCGGAUAUCAUCAUGUGGAGUGGCGGAAAUGGGAGACCAGUGUACCGUGACUACCUUGUGUUCGUGACAUGCCCUGCAACUUCAGAAAGCCAGAGGAAAGUAAAUCUCUCCAUAGCACUGCGAGCAAACCCUUAUGAUUUUAUGACGAAUUUCAACGAUGCAAUCUUGAAUGGGCUCGAAAUAUUCAAAUUAAAUGACACAAAUAGCAAUCUCGCCGGACACAACCCAAACCCACCUCCUAUGUUGACCCCAAAAAAGGCGUUGUCGCCAAGCCCAGAGAGAACCAACACCGAGUUAACGCGGACUCCUAUGCUUGCCAUUAUCGCCGGUGUAGUUUCCACCGUCACAAUUGUAAUGUUUCUUGGGUUAAUCUUGGUUUUCAAGCAACAACAGAAACUCAAAGACUCCUGGUACUCCAGCAACAGAACAACCAACUCAUCUUUACCGUCCGCUUUGUGUCACUACUUUUCCCUGGCGAAGAUUAAAGCCGCCACCCGAAACUUCAACGAUAUUUGUAUUAUUGGGCGCGGUGGGUUUGGCAAUGUGUAUAAAGGGUACAUCGAUGGUAGGGCUACUCCCGUUGCAAUCAAACGGUUGAAACCCGAGUCCUCGCAAGGGGCCCACGAGUUCAAGACGGAGAUCGAGAUGCUCUCCCAAUUACGUCACCGUCAUUUGGUGUCGUUGAUUGGAUAUUGUGUGGAUGAAAGUGAGAUGAUCUUAGUGUAUGAUUUCAUGGACCGUGGGACCCUUAGUGACCAUCUCUACCACAAAGAUAACCCAUCUCUUCUCUGGGAGCAACGGCUUGAGAUCUGUAUCGGGGCAGCGCGUGGGCUGCAUUACCUUCACACGGGAGCAAUGUGCACAAUCAUUCACCGUGACGUGAAGAGCACCAACAUCUUGUUGGAAGAGAAAUGGAUCGCUAAGGUUUCUGAUUUCGGGUUGUCAAAAAUGGGCGCCACCACCAUGUCUAACGCCUACAUCAGCACGGUGGUGAAGGGUAGUUUUGGGUAUCUAGACCCGGAAUACUAUCGUCGUCAGCAGCUGAGUGUGAAGUCUGACGUGUACUCCUUCGGUGUAGUAUUAUGCGAGGUAUUGUGUGGAAGGCCAGCAGUUAUGCGUAUGGUAGAGAGGAGGCAGAUGAGCCUGGCUGAAUGGGCCAAGACUUGUCAUCGCAAUGGGACACUUAAUGAAAUCGUUGACCCAUGCUUGAAGGGCAAGGUCGCAAGCCUUUGCUUUAAUAAAUUCGUUGAGAUUGCGAUGAGUUGCAUGCAUGAUAAUGGGAUUGAACGGCCGUCGAUGGCUGACGUUGUGAGGGAGCUUGAAUUUGCUUUGAAGCUUCAACGGAGUGCUGACGACGAUAUAGACUUCAAUAUUGUUGAAAACAAUAUUUGUGAAGAUGAGGUUGCCUUCAUCAAAGACAAGGAGGGUUCUGGUGAAAGUGAGCAAAGUUGUGCGACCGACGAAUUCAUUAAAUUGAUUUUUGAGACAAUCUUCUCUGAGAUCAACAAUCCGGAUGAGAGAUGAUCUCGAUGAGCAACAACAUUUUUAAUGAAAUUAGAAUAAUCUGGCCACAAUUAAUGGGAGAUGAUUAAUUAUGAACAUCAUUUUUAUUGAAAUGAGAACAAUCUGGCUACAAUGAGAGCCUACCCUAAGAACAUAAAUAUGGAAGUGCUUUAUCUUUUUUUUUUCUUUUUCUUUUUUAUAAAUUUUUUAUACAGGCAAUAUUCUACUUUAAUCGAACCUAAACUACAAAUAGUGGCGAAGCCAGACCCAUUCUCAACUCUCUCUCUCUCUCUCUCUCUCUCUCUUGUUCUUCCCAGCCAUUUCACUCUCCUUUUCUUUCCCUCUUUCUCUAUGUAAAUAAUUUAAUUGUGUGUAUGAUACAACAAUCAGAACUUGAUGUGUAAAAUCUGUCAUCUAAAAGCUUAUUUCUUGAUUUUUACUUUAGGGGAUAUUGAGAGGUUAGAAAAUGAUGCACAAGAAGUUCUCCGAGAACUUGCAAUGCUUAUGCUCUCAUUUCCUUUAUUUUUAUAUUUUGCAAGAGGGCCCCCUUUAACAUCAAUUCUUGGCUCUGUCACUGACAACGAGAAAGGAAAUUCGAACUCGGGUAUAGAGUGGAGAGUACAUAUGCUCUAACCAACUUGAGUAAGCCCACAUUUACGGUGUGUUAUCUCUUUAGCAAGUGCUUUUGCACUCCACAACUUCAAACUAUUGCAAAUUGGUUGUGCAAUUUUGAACUAGUUGGUAGUGGGAGUUAGUAACACAACCCAGUAUAAGCCUUCACAAAAUUGUUCAACUUUCCGAUAAAGGUAAUUCUUCAUAUCCUCACACGAUGCUUCACGUGUGGUGAAUUGGAGGAGGCUGCCCUGAAAAUGAUUUGGGGUUUGGUUUUGGGUCAAUUUAGCUCUUGGGCACGUAGACAUAAAGUAGCCCAACAAAUUUUGGGUUGGAUUUUGAAAUUAAAGUCAUGCUAUUUUCACAUGAGGCAAUACCAUCUUUGAUUAGUCUAUGAUCAAGAACUGCAUACAUAAAGGCAUCAACAGUAAAAUUAAAACAUUGUGAUAUAGAACCCAAUUAGAGGAGGUUGGGAGUAGAAAGCUUGUGUGCCGGCAAUAUCAUCACUGUGCAAAGCUUGUAUUCCAGCAGAAACGUAGGCAUGCAUAUUGGCAUUUUUAACCGUACUGUGUUGAUUAGGCAUCCACGUGUAGCCUUCCAUUUGUGGGCCCAAAAGCAUGGUCCAAUACCUUACCCGGCCCAUCAAACGGGGUCCCGUCUCCAUGAUCACACCGUUGAAAACUGAUCCUAAUUAAGGUCAGCAGGUGGACCCCAGCCCCACCUCCUGAAAUCUAAUUAAGGUCACCCACAAUCAAUAUGCUAGGCCCACAGUCUUCCAAACCGUCGCCGUUUAGAUAUCCAAAGGCCCUGAGUUAGCUUCUGAGCCUGAGUUAUCCAAAGGCCCCAUUGCCUGUCCCUCUCCACCACCUUGAAUUGACUGAACUGUAAAAGCAUGAAUUGCUAGAAGGGAAAAUAAAACUCUCACAAGAUUGAAAAGAAAGUUUGUCGCCAUUUGUGCCUAGUUGGCCCUCAGAAAAUUCAACACUCAAAAAAGGAAUAUUUCCCUGCUCCUGUCGUUUAAUUAUUUAUACUACUGUAUUAGGAGAGUACAUGCAUGCAUGUAUUGUACAUCCCAUUAUUAAUUGGAAAAAAAAAAAAAAAAAUUAUUGUGCAUGAAUAAUAUAACAAAAAAUAAAAUUUGGUAUUUUUUAUUUUGGUCCACUACUAACAAGAUCGAUAUUAUCUUCAACUUAAUCACAUAUUUAGCAGGUGUGGGGUUUUAUGCAAAAAGUCUUAAUGUUAUUAGAAGUAAAACUAUUUAUUAUACGAGACUUUCUAUUUUGUUAAGUUUCCGAUAUGAAAUUGUGUAUUCUUCAACACAUGAACGUCUUGAUAUAGUGAAGGAAAAUACAACAGAACAUUGAACUUUACACAAUUUUAUUACGCUUGCCAUUCAUGAACCAGGUAACCUGCUUUUAAUUCAUAUUUUUACAAAUAAAAAACACUUAAUCAUAAUUUAUAUAAAAAUGUCAUGCAUUUAGUAAGUUCGAGUUCGAAAUCGAUGAACAUAAAUUUAUCAAAACGAUGCGAUUUUGUUUUUGUUCUUUUUAUUAACGGAAGAGGACCCAUUCAAACUUCUCGGCACGUAAAAAAAAAGUUCCACUAAACUAGUAGCUAGUUGAUGAAUGUGAUUUUGAUUAAAACGACGUUUACCAACUCAUAGCUGGAGACCAUUUAAGGGGUUGUUUGCUAGUGGUGAAUGAGACUUUUCUACUAAAGAAAGAAUAUAUAAUUAACUACGCAAUCUCCGCUACUUGUUGUUUGGAAAGUGAGGUAUGCCUAGAGACUUCUGCAGACGACUGAAUUCGUCAGGUCCACUGCCCUCCUGGCAGCUGCUACUGUUUUUUAUCGAGAAUCUUUAAUUUAGAAAACGUAUGCAGACAAAAGUUUGACAUGCAAGUCUUGGAUCCAUGCCUCCACUUCUGCUCAAGAAAUUCAAUAAUAUCACUACUCAAAGUUGAAGACAAGGCUGAUUUAAUCAUCAAAAUUUUGGGGCCCUGUUGCAUGGUUGAAACAGUCUUAUGUUACACAGGACAAGUGCUUAAAAACAUGAGAAUUCUUUCAAAAUCAAAAAUUUAAUUAUUCAUUUUGUGUGAAUUUCGUUUAUUUUUUAAUUCAUUAAUGUGAAAUAAACACAAUAAUUCUCAAUAGGUGAAAUUCAAUUCUUUAUGAGAAUUAAUAAAUACAACAUCAAUUCAAAAAAAAAUCAGAAGGGUGUUUUCAAAAAUAGUUUUUAAAUUCAGAGAAAAAGAAAAAACUUUGUAAAAUAGCAGAAGAUGACAAACUUCUUUUGCAUUUCCAAGCAAUUUCUUCACUCACUUUUUUUUCUUCCCAAAAAACAUAUGUAUCGUUGAUAAAAUGAAAUCUUCACCAACCCAAUUGACAUGACAACCAAGGCCUCACAUACCAUAGAUACAAGCAACUCACCAGGGGGCGUUGAAAAAAACAAACAAACAAACCGACUCUGAUCUUUCAAACAUCCACUCUCCAACCCCAAGAUCUAAAACCCAGUUUUGCAAAGCUUAUUCUCCUUGUGGCUAAUUAGUAUAGAACACAGCGUCAUUAGGAUUUCCAUUUCCAAUUAGAAAUUAAUUAAACAGGCAAGUUCUGUUAUGCUUACAAUAAUAAACAGCAGCUUCCUUUGUUUCUCUUACAAUCAUGAAGAAUCCAAGCAGCAAACACCUUCAUAAAUCAGUAACCAUGAAACCCUUUCUCACUCCUCUGUUCCUUCCCCUGUUUCUGCACAUCAUCACCGUGCACGUGGCCGGUGAUACUUCUCCUAUCUACAAUCCGGUGGACGAUAUCACCCUUCAAUGUGGCUUUUCCGGCGACCAACUCAAUCCAGCCGACACCAGAACUUGGACUGGAGACAUCAACUCAAAGUUUUCCCCCUUUGAAAACCAAGCAUCUGGCAGGCCCUCCAUAUCCACACAAGCACCUUCUUCCUCCUCUGUACCUUACAGCACCGCGAGGCUUUCUCUCUCUGAAUUUACAUACAGAUUUCCAGUCACCACCGGCCAAAAGUUCAUCCGUUUGUAUUUCAACCCAGCUUCAUAUGGCCCUGACUUCGACCGAUCCAAAGCCCUCUUCUCAGUCAAAGCCGGUGGCUUUACCCUUCUCAAAGACUUCAACUCUUCAGUCACUGCGGAUGCUUCUGAGUCUGAUACAAUAUACAGAGAAUUCUGUCUCAACGUUGAGUCAGAACAGAGCUUGAACAUCACUUUCAUGCCAAGCAGAGCAACUGCAGAUGCGUAUGCGUUUAUCAAUGGAAUUGAAAUUGUGUCCAUGCCCAACAAUCUUUACUACACCUCUGCUCAAAAUUCAGAUGGAGUUAAUUAUAUAGGCAGCGGAAACACAUUUCGGAUCGAAAAUGACACUGCGCUGGAGAUGAUGUACCGAUUCAACGUCGGUGGAAGAUCACUGUUUUUCAAUCUGGACACUGGUAUGUACCGAAAGUGGUACGGCGAGCAAGAUGAGAACAAGUACUUAGACUAUUUAAGUUUAAAGUUUAGUGUUUUACCGCAAAACAGUAGCAUUGAACUCAAGUUGACUGAAAUAGCAAAGUACUGUGCUCCAGAAGAACUUUACCAUACUGGCCGGUCAAUGGGCAAAAACAAGACCAUAAACAAGACCUAUAAUCUCACCUGGGAGUUCCCUGUCGAUCCCAAGUUUUUUUACCUGCUUAGGCUUCAUUUUUGUGAGUUUGAACCUGGUAUUACCAAGCCCAGAGACCGACAGUUUCAGAUCUACAUCGCCAAUCAAACAGCUGAAGAAGCCUGGGACAUUUUCUCGCGGAGUAGUGGAAAUGGAAGACCAAUUUACAAGGACUACGUUGUGUUCAUGCCUGCAGGCCCUGGAAGCCAGAAGACAGUUAAUCUCUCUCUCGCACUGCAAGCAAACCCAAAAGAUUUUAUGACCAAGUUCAACGAUGCAAUCUUGAGUGGGCUCGAGAUCUUCAAACUCAGUGACACUAGUCGGAAUCUUGCCGGACCCAAUCCCGACCCACCUCCUCUAACCCCACCAAAGAUGUCUCCUAAAAUUUCGAAGAAGAGUUCGACUUCUCUGAUUGCCAUCGUCGCCGGUGUAGUUUCCGGCGUACUUGUUUUAGUCUCCGUUGUCGGAAUCUUCUUGGCUUUCAGGCGAGGAGGAAAAGUCAAGGACUCAAGCUCCAGCCACGGAACAAAGUGGGGUCCAUUUUCUUUUUCGACGAACAAGUCAACCAAGAGUCGUAGCUCGUCUCUACCGUCGGAUCUGUGUCGUUACUUCUCACUGGCUGAGAUCAAAGCCGCCACCCAAAACUUCAAUAGUGUUUUCAUUAUUGGCGUUGGUGGGUUCGGCCACGUGUACAAAGGGAACAUCAACGUUGACGGUGGCGCCACCUCCGUUGCGAUCAAACGGCUGAAACCAGAGUCAUCGCAAGGGGCCCUUGAGUUCAAGACGGAGAUCGAGAUGCUUUCGCAGCUCCGCCACAACCAUUUGGUGCCGCUCAUCGGGUAUUGUACGGAUGAAGGCGAGAUGAUCUUGGUGUAUGAUUACAUGGCACGUGGGACCCUCCGCGACCAUCUCUAUCACACUGAUAAUCCACCUCUUGCAUGGGAUCAAAGGCUUCAGAUUUGUAUUGGCGCGGCACGUGGGCUGCACUAUCUUCACACUGGCGCGAAGUACACGAUUAUUCACCGUGAUGUGAAGAGCACGAACAUCUUAUUGGACGAGAAAUGGGUGGCUAAGGUUUCGGAUUUCGGGCUCUCGAAAAUGGGCUCCACCACCGUGUCCAAGACCCAUAUCAGCACGGUAGUGAAGGGUAGUUUCGGGUAUUUGGACCCGGAAUAUUAUCGUCGUCAACAGCUGACGGAGAAGUCUGAUGUGUACUCAUUUGGCGUAGUGUUGUGUGAGGUAUUGUGCGCGAGGCCGGCUUUGAUCCGUACAGUAGAGAAGAAGCAAAUGAGCUUGGCUGAGUGGACCAAAGUUUGUCAUCGGAAUGGGAAAAUUGAUCAGAUCAUUGAUCCAAGCUUGAGGGGUAAGAUUGGAAAUGCAUGUUUGAAUAAGUACGUUGAGAUCGCGGUGAGUUGCAUCCAAGAUAAUGGGAUUGAACGGCCGUCGAUGAAUGACGUGGUGUGGGGGCUUGAGUUUGCAUUGCAGCUUCAACAGAGCGGAGGAGGAGUUUUGAAUUUGAGCGAGGAGAAGAAGGGUGAAGAUGAGGAGUCAUUAAUGAAUGCUGCAAGUGAUGCAGGGUUUAGUUGUAGCUGGGAAGACUCGUCAUCGGAGUCGAAGGUUAGUAGGGUGACCAAGAGUAGUAGUGAUCACAAUUCUUCAACCAACAAGUCUAUGAAAGGAAUGUCUGGGACAGUCUUCUCUGAGAUUAACGAUCCCAAUGGAAGAUGAUUGCUCAACAAUUUUUUAAUGGAAUUCAUGUAUAUGUAUGAUAGUAUAUAUGCUACAAUUUGCAACUCAAUUUGUAACUUUGUUGUUUCUUAAAUUCCGUGAACUUAAAACUUUCUUGCAAUUGGUGUUUUUAUUUUAUUUUUUUAUUUUUAAAAAUUUUAUACAAAACAUUAAUGUAUUUGUGUGAUAGUCUUGUGACAUUAUAUAAAGUGAGCAUCGUUAUUAACAAAUAAAAUAAUCUAAAUUUGAAUAAGCCUAGUCUUGUCUUCUCAAUCCUCCAUUUUUCAGUAGCCAACUGAUAAAAACAGGGCAUCAACAUGACAAAUGUUCGAAUUGAUAGUGAUCAUCAUUGAGAAUGGUAGUUGCAACUUACUAUUUCACAUCAACACAAACAAAAAUUAAGUUGGAAGGAAGUGCAUUACGACCACACACAUAAACAAGUUGCAAAAAAAUUAGCUACUUACCUAGAGGAUGAAAUGCAUAUGCUUGAAAUUAUUUGGGCCCAACUAUACAUAAACAAUGCAAGGGGUCAUCAUUUGGCCCGCGAGCCGAAGUGGGUAGUUCGAGGCUUGAUGGGCCAAAGUUGUGUUUGGCCCAAUGGUUAGACCCGCUCAACUCGACCCGUUUUAAAGUUGGAUAGCGCUUAGUCUUAGGUUUUUCAACCUUUGGCCUAACCUGAUAAGGUUUGCCCAUGUUCCGGCCCAAGUAAGCCCGCUUAUUACCUUCUUGUUUUUUAUUUCCCCUUAUAUUGCCUUAUCUUCAUUCUAAACAUUUAAGUAAAUGUCUUGUCCUUUUACUUUAAUUUGUUUUUAUAUUACUCUAUUUACUUAAGUUUACAAUGAAAAUAAAGAAGUGCCUCCUAUUUGAAUUCAAUAAAAUAAAAAAAAACUAAAAAAUCAAAUCCGCAACAAAUCAAAAUAUGAAAGUGCAACUAUACAUGUAUUCCAUUCCAAAUUCGAAUUAAAUCAAAUACCAUCAAAUCAAAGUCUUCUCUCUUGGUCUUUUAUAUAUCUAAGACAAAGACUUUGCAAGUCAUGUGUCCCUAGUCAUCUAAGGCUCGUCACAGACUUUUCUAAUAAUCAAGACAACAUGAGGGUACAAUUAUUACAAUUCCCACUUUGUUGUUAUCUCAAGCUCCACUAGAGAAACUUCCCAACCUUUUCACCUUUCUAUCUCUGAGUCUCUCUACCCACAUCAUCAAUGACGAUAUAUGGAAAGGGCAGCAGAGUGGGGAUCACAUAUGCUCUAGUUAACUUGGAUAAACUCACGGUUGUAGUGCAUUAUCUCUUAACAAAGUGCUUAUGCACUCCACAACUUCCAACCAUUGCAAAUUGGUCGUGGGGUUGGAAUUUUGAACCAAUUGGUAAUGGGGGAUAGUGACCCAACCCCUUAUAAACCUUUACAGAAUUGUUCAACUUUCUGAUAUAAGGUAAUUCUUAUCCGCACAUGAUGCUACAUGUGUGGUGAAUUGGAAUGGGGAAUGGAGGCUGCCGCCGAUGGGGCGGAUGGCUGCUAGGGAUUGAAUUGCUUCUGGCAGAUAGAUCAAUUUGAACAAAAUCAGCAUUUGUUAUAUAGCUGAAUAUGAAUUAAACUUAAUUUUUUUUGUCCUUUGAAUAAAUAUAUGAUUAAUUAUAUUUAGCAAUGCACUAGUUUGGAUUUCAAAUUAUCAACCGUUAUGUGCAAUUUCAUAGGCUAACUUAUUCUUAUGGACCAUAACUUGCGAUUUUAGGUCAACAAAAAUAGAAGUUUGAAAUGAGUGCAUCAUUUGGGGUUAUUUCCAAGUAUAUAUAUGGGAAUACCAUCCUUGUAGAUCCGUAUGCAAAUGCUUUCCUAUUUCUUUGUUAUACACGAGUGCUUAAUUGGUACUUUGCAAACAGAUUAAUUUGGACGAGAUCAUGCCUCAAGAAUAUUAACUAGGCACGCUUUGGAUGGGCGCAUGCUUGAAAAUAAGACAACGUAUGCAUUACAGUCUCCAAUCUGUUCUCUUAUUAUCUUGUGCAAAUUGUAAUCCAAAGACUUGUUAAUUCUUCAAGUCCAUGGCCAACCCAAAAACGAAGUUAAGUUGUUAUCAAAGUUUCUAUUAAAUUGACUGAUGUUGAUCAAGAAUCUUGAAUUUAGAGUAGAUGCAACCAAAAGCUUGACUUGAAAAAGUCUUUGAUGAUCAUAUGUGUAUGUCCCCACUUGUGCAAUAGAAAUUCCAAUCAGAGAUCCACGCAUCACACAUAACAUAUCUUUGACUCUCCCUAUGUAUGUAUUCCUCAUCGAUCAUGCGUAAUAGAUUCCUUUUCCUUGGAAUUGUUAGAAAGCACAUAUAUAGUUGAAUGUGAAAUGAACUUCAACUUUCUUAGGGUGGUCAGAUUUUCAAUUUUCUCUUUUGAUUAAAUAUAUGGUUAAUUACAUUUUACACCCUUGUGGUUUGGUUUAAAAAGUAUCAACCAUUAUGUUCAAUUUUUUAUGAUAACAUAUCUCAUCAAAACUUAAUCCUGCUACUUCAACUCCUGACCCCAUACCAAUCCAACUACUAAUCUAAUCCAACCUUACUUACCAAACAUGACCGAAUGCAUAUAUGCUUGUAACUUAUAAAAAAGCACCAUCCUUUUGGUUCCCAAAUGUUAAAAACAUGACAUAACGUGUAAACAAAAAUAAAGCUUUGAUCUUACUAAAGUGCAUCAAUUGGGUUGUCAUUUUCCUAUAUAUGUAGAAUUACCAUUCUUGUAUCAUAUGCACGUGCUUUUCUGUUUCUCUUUUGUAUACAAUACAAGUGCUUAAUUGGUACUUUGCAGUGAAAUAACCUACUAAGAACAUCUUCAACAGCCUCUUUAACCGCUUUGAAACUCUAAAUUUCAUGAAAUUAAACUUUCUUGGAAUUUGUUAUACAAAACAUUAAAUGUAUUUGUAUGAUAGUUUGUGACAUUAUUUAAAGUGAGCAUCGUUAUUAACAAGUAAAAUAAUCCAAGUUAGAACAUGCGUUGUCUUGUCUUCUCAAUCCUCCAUUUUCAGUGGCCAAAUGAACCAUAUUGUGCCCAGAAGUGUAAACUGAUAAAAACAGGGCAUCAACAUGACAAUUGUUAGAAUUGAUAGUGAUCAUCAUUGGGCAUCAACAUGAUAAUGGGAUUGAACGGCAGCCGAUGACUGACAUUGUGAGGGAGCUUGAAUUUGCUUUGAAGCUUCAAUGGAGUGCUGACAACGAUAUGGACUUCAAUAUUGUUGAAACCAAUAUUUGUGAAGAUGAGGUUGCCUUCAUCAAAGAAAAGAAGGGUCUGGUAAAAAUGAGCGAAGAUGUGCGACCGACGAAUCCAUUAAAUUGAUUUCUGAGACAAUCUUUUCUGAGAUCAACAGUCCGGAUGGGAGAUGAUCGAUUAGCAACAACAUUUCUAAUGAAAUCAGAAUAAUUUGGCCACAAUUAAUGGGAGAUGAUUAUGUAAGAUGACUUAUGUGAGUUGGCCACAAUCAAUCACUUACACGUAUAUAUUAAUUUUGUUUAAACUCUUACUUUAUCUAUAAUUGGAGAGAUAGUGUUAAGGUUUAUUCAAUAUAAAAGAAUCGGUCACUUCUCUCAUAAUACAUGAGUUCUAUAGCGUGCUUGACCUAUUGAUAGAUCAUUCCAUAGUUGCCAUGUCUUCUUCGCCAGAGGCGGAUCCAUUAAGACGCAAGGAGGUGCAGUUGCACCUCCCUUCGCCGAAAAAACCAUUAUAGGUGCUUCAAACUGCCCCUUUGCUCAACUGGUGUACAGAUUACCUUAUUUCCAUUUUCUUAAUUUAUUUGUCCUUUUACUUUAAUUUAUUUUUAUAUUACUCAAUUUACUUAAGUUUACAAUGUAAAUAAGGAAGUACCCCCCAUUUGGAUUCAAAUAAAAAUACUAGAAAAUCAAAUUCCUAUCAAAUCAAAAUAUGAAAAAUCGGUUUUAGUGCAAAAUACAAUUUAGGCUAAAAAUAAUGGCUCAUUAAGUCAAUAUAUACUUCAUACUAAAAUCCCAUAAAAUCAAGUUUUCUUAUUUAAUGUGUAAGGAAUAAAAGGCGCCAAAAAUUAUCUUGAGAAAAUGAUUAUUCUGAAAAACUAUUUUUCAUACUUAAUUAAUUUUGCACCUCCGCUAAAAAAUUUCUGGAUCCGCCACUGUUCUUCGCGGUGUAUAAAGCAAUCAAUAACUCUGCUUUUAUUCAUGUGUUUAUUGUGGUAAACUUCAGUUAUGAUUACAUGUGGUAUCCGACUCUAACAAUUAAAACUUUGAAUUCACAUGAUUAAUUAAUUUAUUUAUUUUUGUCUAACCAGCUGCUUGGAAACUAGUUGUUUUAAAGAAACAAUUCAAUUGAGAGCAUGAAUUUUAUUUUUCAAUCUGUUGUUCCGCACAAUUAUCAUGCUGGUACUAACCAAUUGCAACAGGUCAAGAGUUUUUUGAAGUUUUUUUUGCAAUGUUGUUUCUGAUUGGAAAAUGUAGAUGUUUAAAAAACCAUCACCAAAUUGUUUAUUGAGUUUGAUUCAAUUAAGUGAUGAUUAUUGUAUUUUUUUUAUAACUACAUUAACAAACACCAGGAUUGAUUGACUCAUUCAAUGUUUUGGCUGGCGGCUUUAUGUAUUUUAAAGUAUUAUAAAGAAAUUAUUAUGUUUGUUAUACACAAACUUGAUCUGUUUAAAAUUCUUUUGGACCAAUUGAAUAAUCUACCAAAGUGGCUUAUUUGAUGUUAUUAUGAAAGUAUUAUGAAAGAAUUAUGAAAGAAUUCUUUUGGGCCCCCUCUAACAUCAAUUCAUGACUCUACCACUUAUUACAGGAAAGUUAUUUGAAUUCGGAUAUAGAGUAGGGAGCACAUAUGCUCUAGCUAACUUGGGUACGUCUGCAGUGCGUUAUCUCUUUAGCAAAGUACUUUUGCACUCCACAACUUCCAACUAUUGCAAAUUGGUUGUGGGAUUGGAAUUUUGAACCAAUUGGUAAUGAGGUUAUUGACCCAACCCCUUAUGAGCCUUCACAAAAUUAUUUAACUUUCCAAUAUAAGGUAAUUCUUCAUAUCCUCACACAUGCUUCAUGUGUGGUGAAUUGGAGUGGGGAAGGGAGGCUGCCACCAAUGGGGCGGAUGGCUGCUAUGGAUUUAAUUGCUUCUGGCAAAUAGAUCAAUUUGAACAAAAUCAGCAUUUGUUAUAUAGUUGAAUAUGAAUUGAACUUAAAUUUUCUUUGGUCUCCAGUCUAUUCUCUUAUUAUCUUGUGCAAAUUGUAAUCCAAAGACUUGUUAAUUCUUCAAGUCCACGGCCAACCCAAAAAAGAAGUUUAAGUUGUUAUCGAAGUCUAUUAAAUUGACUGAUGUUGAUCAAGAAUUUUGAAUUUAGAGUAGAUGCAACCAAAAGCUUGACUUGGAAAAGUCUUCGAUGAUCAUAUGUGUAUGUCCCCACUUGUGCAAUAGAAAUUCCAAUCAGAGAUCCACACACCCACACAUAACAUAUCUUUAACUCUCCCUAUGUAUAUAUAUAUAUAUAUAUAUAUAUAUAUACAUGUAUCAUGAACAUGUAUAUAAUAACCCAAGCAUCAAACAAACACCUUGAUACAAUUACCAUGAUGAAACCAAUUCUCAGCACUAAUCUCUACUUUUCCUUUUUUCUGCACAUGAUCGUCGUCACCAUAUUCGUUGCCAGCGAUUUGCCACCUAUCUACAAUGCAGUCGAAGAUAUCACCAUCAAUUGUGGCUAUUCCGGCCACAUAUUCAAUGCAUAUGAUCAGCGAAAUUGGACUGGAGAUAUCAACUCAACAUUUUCACCCUUUGAACACCAAGCAAUUGGCAACACAUCCAUAUUCAAAGAAGCACCUCAUUCGUACACCGUCCCACAAGUGCCUUACACCAGAGCUAGGCUUUCUCACUUUGAAUUUACCUAUAGAUUUUUUAACCUCACCCCCGGCCAAAAGUUCGUCCGUCUGUAUUUCUUCCCAGCUUCAUACCCCGACUUUGAUCCCUCCAAAGCCUUCUUCUCUGUCAAAGCCGGUGGCUUUACCCUUCUCCACGACUUCAAUGCUUCAGUCACUGCUGCUGCUUCUGGGUCGGAGGAGACGGUAUAUAGAGAAUUCUGUAUGAACAUUGAGGAAGAAGAAGAAGAACCUAGUUUAAGCAUCACGUUCACUCCAAGCAGAGCAAUCCAAGAUGCCUACGCGUUUAUUAACGGAAUUGAAAUUGUAUCAAUGCCCGUCAAUUUAUACUACACUCCACGUGGGAUUCAAUAUGUAGGCAAUGAAAACAUCUUUCGCAUUGAAAACAACACUGCUUUGGAGGCGGUGUACCGAAUCAAUGUGGGCGGUAAGGCACUCUUUUUUGGUAAAGACACUGGCAUGUACCGCAAUUGGAAUGCUUAUGGAGACGAGCAAAUUCACUUGGAAGAGUUGAGUCUUAACCGUAGUGUUUUGCCGCAAAAUGAUAGUAUCCAACUCCAUUUUGCCAAAAUCCCAGAGUACUCUGCUCCAAAAGAAGUUUACCAAACCGCUCGGGCAAUGGGCAACGACACAGCCAUAAACAAGAGCUACAACCUGACAUGGCAAUUUCCUGUUGAUUCCAAUUUCAAUUACCUGGUUAGGCUUCAUUUUUGUGAGUUUCAGGCUGGAAUUUGGGAGAUCGGAGAUCAAGUGUUUCUAAUUUACCUGGAUAAUAUACCUGCUGAAAAAACAGCGGACAUAAUUGAGUGGAGUGGCGGGAAUGGGUUUCCAAUAUACAGAGACUACUUGGUGUCCAUGCAGCUUCCGAGCUCAACUGGAACUGGAAGCAAGGCGAAAGUGAAUCUCACCAUCGCACUGCAGGCAAACCCACAUGAUUGGAGGACUUUAAUCAGCGAUGCAAUGUUGAAUGGUCUCGAAAUCUUCAAACUCAACAACUCAUACGGCAAUCUCGCGGGACCCAACCCCGAUCCACCUCUUAUGGACCCAACAAAUACGACGUCGUCGUCAGGCCCAGAAAAACCCAAGUUGAGGAAUACUCAUUUGCUCGCUAUUGUUGCUGGUGUAGUUUCCACCACAAUUGCACUGCUCUCUGUUCUAGGGUUAUUCUUGGCUUUCAGGCGACGACAGAAACUCAAGGACUAUGAUGGUUGCUCCACCCGCGGAGCAACCAACUCAACCAAAAGUCGGGGCUCAUCCUUACCGUCCAAUUUGUGUCACUACUUUUCCUUGGCGGAGAUCAAAGACGCCACCCGAAACUUCAGCGAAAUUUGUAUUAUUGGGCGUGGCGGGUUCGGUAACGUUUACAAAGGGUACCUCGAUGGUGCGGCCACCCCCGUUGCGAUCAAACGGCUGAAACCCGAGUCAUCACAGGGGGCCCACGAAUUCAAGACGGAGAUCGAGAUGCUCUCCCACUUACGGCACCGUCAUUUGGUAUCGCUGAUUGGAUAUUGUGCAGAUGAAGGUGAGAUGAUCUUAGUGUAUGACUUCAUGGAUCGUGGGGCUCUCAGCGACUAUCUCUACCACAAAGAUAACCCAUCUCUUCCCUGGGAACAACGACUUGAGAUCUGUAUCGGGGCAGCGCGUGGGCUGCACUACCUUCACACAAGUGCGCAGUACACCAUCAUUCACCGAGAUGUAAAGAGCACGAACAUCUUAUUGGAUGAGAAAUGGGUGGCUAAAGUCUCGGAUUUUGGGCUUUCAAAAAUGGGAACCACCAGCAUGUCCAAGACCCACAUCAGUACAAUGGUGAAGGGUAGUUUUGGGUAUUUAGACCCAGAAUAUUACCGGCGUAACCAAUUGACAGAGAAGUCUGACGUGUACUCUUUUGGCGUGGUGUUAUUUGAGGUAUUAUGUGCGAGGCCAGCUUUCUUACGAACAGCGGGGAAGAAACAGAUGAGUUUGGCUGAGUGGGCCAAGAGCUGUCAUCGCGAAGGGACACUUGAUAAAAUCAUUGAUCCGAGCUUGAAGGGUAAGAUUGGAAAAGCGUGCCUGAAUAAGUUUGUUGAGAUGGCGAUAAGUUGUAUUCAUGAUAAUGGGAUCCAACGGCCGUCGAUGAAUGACGUGGUGUGGGGGCUUGAGUAUGCAUUGCAGCUUCAUCAAAAAGCGGAGAGAGAUUUAGAUUUCAAGGGUGAAGACAAGGUUGCAUUAAUGAACGAUAAUGAUGCUGCACCUGCAGGGUUUAGCACGAGUUGUUGUUGGGAAGAAGAAGAGGCGUCGAAUUCAUUGAACAGUAGUGGGCUGGCCAAAUUAAGCAGCAGUGACCAAAAUUCUACUACUAACGAAUCGAUUAAAGGGAUGUCUAGGAUAGUGUUUUCUGGGAUCAACGAUACCGAUGGGAGAUGAUAUUUAUUUGUAUUAAUAUGUGCCUUUUUUCUUUGAUCGACCUUGUAAUUUGGUUUUUUCUUAUAUUCUGUGAAUGAAUUCAUUAAUUAAACUUUCCAAAUAGAUUAGCACCGUCUGUUCAUUUUUCAUGACAAAUAAAAUAAAACAAAAAUGGAGUUCAAUGAAUUUGUAAAAGUCAUGUACUUAAUGUCACAAGUUCCACAAUUUAAUUUCCAUUCAAUUAUUAAAAAAUUAAAUAUAAAUAUUAUAAUUUUCUACUAAAUUCUCAUUCCACUUUACUCCAGUAUUUAUUGAACGGAUAUUGAACGGAUUUGAUUACUGAAGGGGAGGUGGGAUUGGAGGGUCCCAUGCCUUGCCCGGGCUGCCUUUUGCGCGCUGGAGGUCCAAAUCUUGCUGGGGGGCCUAUUGCCAGGGCAGGGUGGCUUGCGCUGCCCUUGCUCAAAUGGUAAGGUGUAUGAUUGAAGUAAGUUGUGUGGUGAAUGAAUUAAUGACAUGUUUACUAAUCCGUAAUUGGAUUAGGAGGAAUUGAAUUGAGGAUGAAUUAAAUUGAGGAUGAAUUGAAUUAAGGAGGAGUUGAAUUCAGGAGAAUUAGAUUCCGGAUUCCUAAUGAAGUUGUUUACUAAACCAUAUGGAUUGAGGGGAGUUAGAUUCCGAAUUCCUAUUGAAGUGUUUACUAAAUCAUGUGGAAUUGAGGUAGGAGUGGUAUUAAUUACUAAAAUGUCCUCAUUUUUGGGUUAAAGUAGAUGACAUAUUUGGAAUUUUGAAAAUUGUGUGAGGAUAUAAUGGGUAAAAAAAAUGAAUUCCUAAUGGGUGAAUUCUCCAGGAAUUAAAAUACCACAUCCCAUUCCGAAAUUGAAUUCCUCCAAAAUCAGGAAUUCAAUUCCUAAUUUUGUGUGGGCCCCGCUUACUUUUCAAUUUCUUGAUGUGAAGUAAACGAAAGAAUUCUCCAUAGGCGAAAUUCAAUUCCUGAUUAGUAAACACACCAUAAAUAUACACAGACACAUGAAUCAUGAUCUCGGUGGACGUGGACCAGGCCAACCAAAUAAAUGAGUGGUUUUUAUUAAGUUCGUGGGCGAAGGGGCAGAAAGAAACUGGCAAUAUCCAAGGAGGAAGGUGCCAAUGGAGCUUGUCACAUGCUUUAACUUGUAACCAUAGAACGUGCAACUUUGCUAGUCGCUUUUAGUUUUUCAAGUGGUUGUUUGUACAAUUAGCUCGCAACUUGCAUGGUCCAAAAAUUGAUUGAAUACAACAGCUAGGCCAAGUGAAAGAGUAACACUACUCUUGGAUAGUCAUAGUGUAGUGGAUGUGGAUCCAUAUCGAAUUCAUUAGAAAUAUGGGAUCAUCAGUCGUCGUAGGUGUUUUUGUUAUUAUGCUGACCACAGCGAUGGUGUCUCAGCUGCCCAGCACAAGCCAUUGCCUGAUGAACAAGAGCAGCAGCAGCACUGGCUCCUUCUCUAACUGGUGCAUUAAUGGGAGCACCCACCAAUAUUGCCAGCAGCUUAUUAUUCCACAGGAGGAGGAGGACGUAGAUCAGUUGGAGUCGGAGGCUAUGAAUAUGAUCAUGAAGCAUCUGCUGGUGGUGGAUGAUUCACAUCACGAAAUUAGCGACGAAAUUAGCAACAGAAUGCUGCUUGUCCGUCAUGAUAGCAAAAUUACUCAAGAAUCGUUUAUAAAGUACAAGCCGGUAGUUAACUGUGGCAGAAGACUACUAAAACUAUAUCCUCCUUUCCCAAAAAGGAAUAAGGGCACGAGGCUUUCUUCCGAAAUUUCGGCAGAGUCUCCCUUGUAGAUUGGACUUUUCUCAAAUUUCCAGCCUAUUAAAACACAAUUAAUAUAUCCCAACAGCAGCAUGCACAAUAUAAUAACAUGGAAUUCACAUAAACGGCCUUCGGCCUUUAAAUAAUCCGAAGUAAAACCACCAACAAAGCUCUUAAGUCAAAAAAUGAAAUUAAACCAUGUAUUUAAUGAACUCAACUAGUUUACGCAUACCCACCAUAAUUAACCCCAAACAACCUCCCAAUGUUCAUCAUGCGGUAUUUAACAAACAAACACAAACGCAAGUAGAUUAAGGACUCGGUCUAAAUCAUACAAUGAUCCAGAACGGGUUCCAAAACUGUCUUGCUCACAACCACAUUUCAACAACACUCACUUAGUCAAAUGGGAAAAUGAAAAAUCAAUCAAUCAAGCCUCGUUUUCAAACGAGUUUAAUAACCAUUGAAAAAGUCGAAACUGAAUUCAUCUAAAGACCAAAAUAACUUUAGUUCGCAGCUGCACCUAGGUAAGACCUCUGGCUACCUACGUACUCCUUUUAUGAGGGAUCAAGCCACACGUAGUUCUAACAUCAACAGCCACGACUCUAAUAAUAUACAAUCUUUUUCCUUUUAAAUAAAACUAACGAAUGACUUCAGAUUCCUUAUUAUAUCAAAUUCGACAAGGCAACCUCUGACCACUUUAUGAGUUUCUUUCUUUUAUCAAUCUUUUCCGCUCAACCAUACCCUAUUCAAGGCGUAUGUUGCAAAAUAGUAACUCCAUAUCCAGGACUUAGACAUUCAUACUUGUGCAAGGUAAUUACAAAGCACAAACUCAAGAAUCUCAACCCGCAAACAAAUCCUUAUAUAUAAGUAUUUAAUAUAUAUAAAUAUAAUUAUACCCACUUCCCACCAUCCUCAUGUACCAGGGACAACAAUCCAAUCCGGGGAUCAUUUGACUAGACCACAUGGAGGAGUCCUCAACAACCAUGUGGCUAGGGAACGAGCCGUUCAAUUGGGGGACUAACUCUCAGCCAGCACGUACAGCCGAAACCCUUAAGACUUGUACGCCUGUGACAAGUCCUACGCGUGCAGACUACCUAAUCAAGGGUCUAUGGUAACACCCCAUUAAGGUAUGCCCAGGGUUCCCAAACCAUAUUGAUAAUUCCAAAUAUCCAUUUCGAUUCCAGAAUCUGUAUCCAAGGAAGCCCACAUGCCUGAAAAACGCCACGUGUGGGUAUAGUAACCAGGGAAGGUACAUAUGAUGGUGGAGUUCAUAACCCUUAUAACCAUAUUAUAAAAAGCAAUGUUCCCUUCCUUAUUUCAAUUGUUCCAAAUAUUUAUUCAUAGUAUAGACAAUAAACUCUCAAGCAUAUAAUCCAUAUUCAGGGAGGUACAUAAGGUAGUGCUAAUAGCACUCAAACUAACAUUCUAAACUCACAUCUUUCCAACAUCUAACAACACCACCCCAAGUACCCCACACAUAAUCAACAUAGAUAGCUCUUUUUCAAAAUAUUAUAUAUAUGAACUCAAGAUACUAUCAAGUAUGUCAAAACCCACAUAUAUCACAAAUACUUUACAAAAAUGAUAAAUUUAACUAUUAAAUAUCAAAUGAAUUUCAAUAAACCAUUAAAUUCAUAUGCAUAAAAUUUCCAUCACAAAGCCAUGCUAUUUAUUUGAAAACAAUGUACACUCACUAAAAUCAUAGCCGAACCCAAAGCUCACUUUCAUAACUCACCCAACUCAAUUAACCCAUAUUCAUUCAUUCCAUAAUUUCAAUUAUUAAAAUAAUAUCCAAGAAUUUUCAUACGAUAAUAAAAACAAUCUCAAAAUCCCAACAUAGUCAACAUAACUCAAAUAACGGUCGAGACUCAUUAAUAAAGUCGUUCUAGUCCUCCUUGAAGGGUGAAACUAUCUCGGAAGACUCACGGUUAACCAAGGGGUUAAACUACCUAAACUUGGUCAGUCGGGCCAGCGAGACCCACGACCUCUGUUUUACGAUCCAAAAGUUCCUAUGGGUUCUACAAGGUUUAGGAUACACGUUCUGCAAGUUUGGUCCGAAUCGGACAUUCGAAUCGCUCACGAUCACAGGAUCAGACAGUUAUCGUAAAACACAAACCUUAAGUUAUUGAAUCUGAACAUCCGGGCUCCGAUUCAGGAUCUGUGAAAUCCUACACGACCCUAGGAAUGCCUAGACGAACAUAUACUAAAUUGGAGUCGAUCCAAUGGUCCGAACUUGUCGAACCCAGAUAACGCCCAAUAUGCGACAUCCGAUUGAUGAUCAAAAGAUAACCAAAUUCAAAUCCGAGCAUACCGUCGUGCUCGGGACGACAAGAGGGUUAUUUUAGGACUCUAAGACAGACCACCACAUGGCCCACGCGCCACCACACGCACUGGCAGCGCGUGGGUGUCCAUAACAAUUUCUGGCGACCGGAAAAACUCCAAAUCGCGGUCAAGACCUAUAUUUAUGCGAAGAGCACACUGAGUGGGGCAACUUUUGUUCUUGGACCUACCCCAAAAAGUAGCUUGAGGUGGCGGGAAUCAUGGGCCGAAACCGGCCAAAACUUCUAUCGCUUAAUUGACAACCAAACUGCAGAAAUUGAUCCUAAAUAACCCAACUAGCAGCUAGAUCACAAUGAGAGGAUGGAAAAGCAUACCUAGAUUGCAAGAUUUGGUUGCCGGAAACGUCCAAUACAUGCUUCAAAGUUAGCUACUCAAAGAAACAAAAUAUCAGAAUUCACAUAACAUAGAGAAACCGAAAUCAUCACGCUUGUAGAAACUGAAAAAUCCAUUCAAACUUGUUUAUAGAAUUGAAAUUAUGUUUAGGGCUUCAAGAUUAAGCCCUAACUAACAAGAAAUUAGUUACUCAUGUUCUUGGAUGAACUCAAAAAUAAAUACAUAAGAACUGAAAAUUAAAAGAAGAAAGGAAAAGAAAGAACUUGUUGGCAGCUUUUUCCUCUUGCGCGGUUGAUCUUCUUAGGACGUGAAUUCUUUGUAUCGGGGCCUUGACUGGCCUUUUAUAUCACUUAUAUCAGAGUUCUAAACCCUAAAAUUGACUGAAAAGUCGUCUAAAAAGUCUUGGUUAACAAGGAAUCCAAAUAGGAAAGUAAAGAUCACAAUUCCAAACUCCAUAGGAAGAUACAGCUCAGCCUAAUUGUCACAUGAUUUGGAUAUAUUUGGCCUUUUAGAAAAAUCAUUAAAAAUAUAUUUUAGAAAGAUGAAUGUCUUAUAUUUCCAACCGUAUAUAGCACAUAACUUGGAAAAUUCGGGAAAGCUUCCGUUUCUUCGCAUUCACAUAACAUGUACGAAACUGUCCUGUCUGCACGUAGGCUAACUUUACUUGUAAUACUGUACCAAUUGGCUUUCAUCUUGAACUUCAAGAUGUUAGCUUUCAUCUCCAAUUGUCUUGUGCUAAAAUUCCUCCAAAAAGUUGAUUUUUCCUUAAAAACCUUCUAAGAGUGCAGAAAAGCUAAAAAUUAGAAAAGUAAAGUAAUAAGUGUGAAGACUCGUAUUUUUAAAAAUAUAUAUAUAUAUUUUGCUGUCUAUUUAGUUAUAUAUUUAAAUUGAUUAAAUAUAUAGUUGUUUUAUCAUUGUAAUAAUUAUAUGUAUUUAAACAAUUAACUAGCUCUAAAGUGGACGUGUAGUUUGUGUUUUAUCAAGUUACUUUUUCCUUAUCAACAACCCAUGACUUGGAGUUAGCACGUGGAGGUUUUACAUGCAUUCUUAGUAAUAGAAUUUUGGUAGAGCAACACGUAGGAACCCAUUUUAACUUGAGGUGGCUUGUCCAAAUUCAUCCCAUUGACACAUGCAAAUACUUAGUCUUUAAAUAUAGUAGAUACUUAUAUUUCCUUGGAGAAUAAGUAGGUUCUAUUUCUUGGAGAAUAAGUACACAGGAUCUCUUUUAAUUGGUUAAUAGUUGCCUCAGUUAUUAGACCAAUAAGAAGCUAAUAGCAACCAAACUUCUUCUAGUAUAAAUAGGCCUAUCCGUUGCAUCUUGUGAAAAACACACAAACCUUGUGUAUUAAUUGAGGUUACACAUUGCAUGCAUCGCAUGCAAAGAGUUCUUGAGAGAGCACUACUACAAAAAAGCAAAAAGACGACGGUAAAUCACCGUCGUGUAUUCGGUUUUUCAAUAGUCGUGGAAUCUACCGUCAUCUUUUCCCUCAUAAAACACGACGCUAAAUUACCGUCGUUGUUAAAAUAUACAACGUCAUCAACAAAUACAAAACGACGUCUUUGUACUGCAAAAAGAUCUAAAAAAGCAGUCGAGGAUGAGAAUAGACGACCAACUCUCUAAAAAAACCGUCGUUAAAAAGGAAAAAUAUGACACAUAUUAACAGAACAAGGCCGCAAGAUAGACAUACAACGACCAAAAUUAAAAUAAGACGCCGUUAAAUAUCAUUUUCACGACAAUAAAAAAUAUGACGUCUUUAAAUACAUUAGAAGACGACGUUAUUGAUACCUACUACGUCGCCUAUAUAAAAACAGCCGUCGUAAAAUAAAUUUUCCACUUCGAUUUUUCUAUAAAAGAUGACGUGGAAAUAAUUGUCAGUGUCAUUAUUUACGACGUAUGUAUUUAUAGAGUAGACGUUGAACAACGAAACAAUGUAAGAUCCCACAUCAAACCAACGGAGAGGGGGGUGAUGUGCCUUAUAUGGCACACCCGCAUCCAUCUAGCACGAGGCCUUUUGGGAGCUCACUGGCUUCGGAGUUGUAAGAACUCCGAAGUUAAGCGAGUGGGAGGCUGGAGCAAUCCCAGGAUGGGUGACCACCCUGGGAAGUUGCUUCGUGAGCUCCCAGAAACAAAACCGUGCGGGCAGUGAGAGGAGGGCCCAAAGCGGACAAUAUCAUGCUACGGCGGAGCCGGUCCGGGGUGUGACAAUUUGGUAUCAGAGCCACUCUGCCGUGUGGUGCGAGUGUGCCGACGAGGACGUCGGACCCUUGAGGGGGGUGGAUUGUAAGAUCCCACAUCAAACCAACGGAGAGGGGGGUGAUGUGCCUUAUAUGGCACACCCGCAUCCAUCUAGCACGAGGCCUUUUGGGAGCUCACUGGCUUCGGAGUUGUAAGAACUCCGAAGUUAAGCGAGUGGGAGGCUGGAGCAAUCCCAGGAUGGGUGACCACCCUGGGAAGUUGCUUCGUGAGCUCCCAGAAACAAAACCGUGCGAGCAGUGAGAGGAGGGCCCAAAGCGGACAAUAUCGUGCUACGGCGGAGCCGGUCCGGGGUGUGACAAACAAUGUCGGUUACAAAUAUAUGAGAGUCGUAUUACAAAAUUUAUAUGUCUUAUUUUCAGAAACAAACAACGACGAUAAAUAUUAGACGUUGUUAAAUAAAACAACGUCGAAAACAAAUAAAAACAGACGUGUUUAGUCUGCUAAAGUUCUAAGACAUACAACGACGACAACUAAAACACUACGCCGUUAAAUAUAAUUUUCACGACAAGAAAAAAUAUGACGUCUUUAAAUACAUGAGAAGACGACGUUAUUGAAAUCUACUACGUCUCUUAUUUACAAACAACCGUCGUGAAAUAAAUUUUCCACUUCGAUUUUUCUAAAAAAGAUGACGUGGAAAUAGUUGUCAGUGUCAUUAUUUACGACGUAUGUAUUUAUAUAGUUGACGUUGAAAUGCGAAACAACGUCGGUGGCAUUUAUAUAGUCGACGUUGUAUUUAUAUGUAUUCAUUACUCACGACGCACUUAUUAAUAUAGACGACGUUGAACUUCUAAAUAAUGUCGGUUCCAAAUAAAUGAGAGCCGUAUUACAGAACAUAUAGACGGCGUUGAUUAUGAUGAGAGCCGUAUUACAAAUAACGUCGUUUAAUUGAUAUUAGACGACGAUUAUAAUGAAUUACCGUCGGAAUUCAUUUCGUUCCUCUUCGUUUAUAAAAGAACUUGCGACGUGGAAAAUGUAUGAUGACGUCGUAUUUUUUAACGUUCAGAUUAUAUAUCUCAUUUUUUAGACGUCGGUAUUAUGGGAUUGGAGUCGUGUUAUUUUGAAUUACAUGACGGUUCUUAAUCCUUCCCCGACGUGAUAUCCUGAAUAAUUGCUUCACAAUAGCGUCGUGGUUCUUCAUUGUUACGUUGCUUUAAGACGUCGGUAAAUAUGCUGAAUAACUGGUUCACAAUAACGUCGUGUUUUAUUUGAACGUAGAAAGUGAAGAAAUCACAUUACAAUAUAUUACAAAAUUAAUGUCAUACACUGCCAAUUAUAUAAGCAUCAUUCAAUCCAUAUAUCUUCACACCCAUCUCGAAUAUUUUGACCACCUAACUCACCCACCAGUUCAUCAAAUGUGUCAACAUUUGGCAUCCCUCUAGUAAAUGGCUCACACUCAAUUAUCACAUCACCUAAGACUUCAUCACCAAUAACAUCAUUAUAUUCUCUAUUAGGCAUUGAUAACACUACCGACCAACCACGAUGCAUCGGGUCGUCAACAAAAAAUAUUUGUUUGACUUGAGAAGCCAAAACAAAUUGGUCAUUCCUAUGUCCAAUUUUACUCAAAUCUACAAGGGUAAAUCCAAGUUCGUCGACUACAAGACCAGAACUAUCUAUCCAAUCACACCUAAAGACUGGGAUUGUAAACUUUUGGUAGUCAAGGUCCCAAAUUUCUUGAAUGACACCAUAGAAACCCAUAUUUGAGAGAAUUGGGUUUUUAUCCUUGGCACUAGCAACUUGCAUGGUAUGUGCAAGUAAAUAAACUCCACUAUUUUGAGUUGUCCGCACAUCAUCUUGUGCCUUGAUAUUGAAUUUAAUAUCUUUAAUAAGAUAGCUCCUAUAUAAUGGCACUGCCAUGUUUGGACCAGCUGCUAGCCACCUUAAAUUUUCUGAUAAGCCAUGAUUGUCUUCCUCAAGUUCACUUUGAACCUGCAAAUUAAUCAUAUCUUAAUUCAAUCUAACAUAGAAAUAAGAAGAAAAUUAAAAGAGAAAUAUGUUAUUCAACAACAUAUACCUUGAAGCGUAGCCAUUGAAUGAAAGUGCUAUUGUGCUUAUCCUGCAGCUACUUUGUUCUCUUUCUAAAUUUUGGAUAAGCAGUCUUGAUGUGGAUCAUAUGUUGCCUACAUGACACGAAAAAUUCAAGCAUUACGGUCCCAAAUAUAUAAGAUAAACAUAAGAAAUAAUUUAAAAUGGAAACUUAAAGAAUAAAACUCAUACGUACUCGAUAUAAGGUAGGACUUCCUCCGUAUUCUCCAAGACAUAUAGAUGUGCUUGAUUCAACAGGUCCUGAUCAACUACGCUCACUGUGCAACCUGAUAAUGGCUUUGAAACUCCCAUCUUUUGGCUUGAAGGCACUCCAACUGUACUAACAUCAGAUAAAUGCUGAGUAUAAAACUCUACCGCUUCUUCAGCUAUAUACCGCUCAGCAAUGCAACCUUCGGGACGAGUACGAUUCUGAACAUCUUCAGCACUUUCAUAUAUCUUUCAAACGGAUACAUCCACCUAAAAUAUACUGGCCCACAUAGACGAACUUCUCUGACAAGAUGUACUACUAGAUGAACCAUGAUAUCAAAGAAUGAAGGGGGAAAGUACUUCUCAAGCAAACACAGAGUAACUACUACAUCUUCUUCCAACUUAUCUAGCUUGGAAACAUCAACAGUCUUUGCACAUAUAGCAUUGAAGAAGAAGCACAAAUGAGUUAUUGCAUACCUUGCAAGCUUCUCCAAAACAGAACGAAUUGCCACAGGGAGCAAUUGUUGCAUUAAGGUAUGACAAUCAUGUGAUUUAAGGCCAAGAAGUCUUGAAUCUUGUAAAGAUACAAGAUUUUUAAUAUUUGAAGAAUAACCUUCAGGAACCUUCAUACCAUAGAAAGAAUUGCAAACCUCUCUCUUCUCUGCUCUUGACAAAUUCCAAGGCCCAGGAGGCAAACGAGUACGUCUUUCUCCAUACUCGGGUUGCAAAUCAGUUUUGGCCCCCAUGUUCAAUAAAUCUAAUCGAGCAGCAAUCCCAUCUUUAUUUUUUCCAAGGAUCUCCAGCAAUGUACCAAUGAUACUAUCGCAAACAUUCUUCUCAAUGUGCAUAACAUCUAGGGCAUGCCUCACAGGAAGGUAUUUCCAAUACUCGAGAUCAAAGAAUAUUGAUUUCUUCUUCCAACAAACUUUGUCACCAUUUUCAACCAUAUGCAGCACUUCUUCUCCGGUUAAUGGCUCGAGAGGUAUGCCAUAUUCAGGUUUCCCAUUAAAAGCUGCACGUUGCCUCCUAUAUGGAUGAUUGAUUGGUAACCAUUUUCUUUGCCCAAUGUAACAAAUUUUGUGGCCAUUUUUCAACCUGUGACUAGGUGAAUCAUCGCCGCAUAUUGGACAAGCUUUAUAUCCUUUAACAACACAACCAGAUAAGUUUUCAUAGGCGGGGAAAUCAUUAAUUGUCCACAUUAAUGCAGCUCUGAGUGUAAAGUAUUCUCCAUUAUGUGCAUCAUACACUACUCUAAUCCCAUCCCACAAAGAUUUUAAAUCAUCAAUCAAAGGCUCCAAGUAGACGUCUAUAUCAUUUCCGGGUUGUUUAGGACCGGAAAUCAAUAAGGUUAACAUCAUGAACUUUCGUUUCAUGCACAGCCAUGGAGGGAGAUUAUAUGUAACUAAGAUAACCGGCCAACAACUAUAUCUGCUACUUAUAGAACUGUGGGGAUUGAAUCCAUUAGAUGAAAGAGCCAAUCUCAAGUUUCUCGGCUCAUUACCAAACUCAGGCAAUUUAUCAUUAAGAAGUUUCCAAGACGGGGAAUCCGCCGGUUGAGACAUCUGACCGUCAAUUGAUUUUCUAGCAGCAUGCCAAGUCAAACUCUUAGCUGUCUCAUGUGAUUGAAACAUCCUUUUAAACCUUGGAAUUGGAGGAAAAUACCACACCACCUUCGCUGGCACACCCUCUUUCAAGAUUGAAUCUUUGCCUUCCUUCCACCUUGAGAUACCACAAGUAGGACAAUUAGUUGAAUCCUCAUACUCCUUCCUAUACAAGAUGCAAUCAUUGGGGCAUGCGUGCAUUUUCUCAUAACUCAGCCCCAAUGCACACAAAGUCUUUUUAGCCUCAUACAUAGAGGUUGGUAUUGUAUUUCCUUCUGGAAGCAAAUCGCCUUGAAGUAUCAAUAAUUUUGUAAAACAGACAUCACUCAUCCCAUGUUUUGCCUUUAAAUUAUACAACUUCACUAAUGCCGAUAACUUCGUGUACUUUCUACAACCAGGGUACACUGGUUGAUCUCCAUCCCCAAUCACAUUGGCAAACUCAUACGGAUCGGAACCAAUAUCACCAAAAUCAUUAUCAUCCAUAUCAAUUUCUUCAGACACAAAACUGUACCUACUAUGGCCAUCAUCUUCUUCAACAUUUCUACUAGCAUUAGUAGUUGCUUCCCAAGGUUCUCCGUGAAAUGUCCAAUUCUUAUAGCUUUGGUCAAUUCCAUUAAAGUAUACGUGAUCCCUUAUAAUUCCAACCCCAAAAAACUUCAAAUUAACACAUUUAACACAUGGACAACGGAUAUGUGUUGUAGUUAGAAGAUUUUCUACAGCAAAGUUCAAAAAUGCUUCCACCCCAAACUCAUAUGCCUUCGAUCUUCUAUCCGAGUGCAUCCAUGACUUAUCCAUCUCCGACACUAUAACCUAUUAUCUAUAAUAAAGUGAAAAUACAGGCAAUGACCAUCACUAUAGCAGAUUAUACAAAGAUCUAAUAGCAAGUAAUACACAACAGAGACGACGGGUUUUAAACAAAAACAGACGUAUUUGGCAUAUAUAGACGACGGAUUUUCAACAGACGUCGUCUAAUAUAAGUAAUACAAAUGACGGUUUAUGAAAAAACCGUCGUGUAUAAGUAAUACAACGACGGUAGUUUAAAAAAACCGUCUUGUAAUCGUCGUCGUAUGCCUAAAAAGGCGUCGUGUCUCAGUUUAUUUUCAAGAACCCAAAACCCAUUAAGAACACAACAUAUAUAUGAAACCAAGCAAGAAACCAACAUAUACAUGAAACCAAGCAUGAAAACAAUAAAUCCAUUCCCAAUUCAACAUAACAUAGGGUGAUUAAAAGAUCCGAAAAAAUUAAAUCCAUUCCCAAUUCAACAUAACAGAUAAUGUAAUCCAUAAACCCAUUAAACAGAAAAUCCAUGAACCCAUACCUAUAAGCACAUUAUUAACAGAUCGCAAAGCAUAUGCCUAAAACCCUUUAACAAAACAAUCUAAUAUCAUUCAAUGAAUUUACAAGGGGAAGAUAGGGUUUGUACUUACAGGUUGGACGAGCUCACAGAUUCGACGGAGCCUGGAGAGUGCAACUUUUAAUUAGAGCAGAAGUGAGAGAGCGAAAUGUUAUGUUGCGCGAAAUCUGAAAAUUUUAGGGUUCAGGGUUAGAAGUAUAAGAAUAAGAGCCAAAUCUAAAAAAUUUAGGUCGCGCGAAAAUUUUUAGAGAGCGCGCUCUUUAAAACGUCGAAAGAAAAACCAUGGCGAAAGUUCUACAAGAACCGACGUAAAUGUAAUAUUCCACGACGGAAACACUGAACGUAACGCCGUUUAUUUUGACGCUUCAUUUUUCGGAUUAAUUUUAAAUUUAUUUUGAAUAUUUUGAUAUAAAGACGACUGAAAAACCACGUCGGGGUUAAGAAAUUGAAGACGUUGUAAAUUAUAAUAGACGACUUACAUAUUAAAAUGACGUCGUUUAAAGUAUAAACCAUGUCGGAUAUUUUACUGCACGACGUAACAUAUGUAUUCCACGACUCAACCACCGUCGUUAAAAAUUAAUACCCUAAACCCUUAAAACUAAAUUAUAUAAUUUAAAAAAUUAAGUUUAUAAAAGGGUUUAUGGUUUUACAGCCUAAUAUAUACCCUAGACUACCCAAAAAUUAUACUUUAAAAAUAUACCCCAAUAAAUAACAACCCUAAUCUCUAAACCCUAGACUCUAAACCCUAAACCAUAAAACUAGAAGUGAUUUUAUGACUCAUCAAAAUAAUUUUAUUUUGGAUGGUCAUUUUAAAUUUUUGUUAUUCAAAAUGAAUUUUUUCAAGGUUUAGGGGGAAGAAAAUAUAUCAAUGACUUCAUAGGAGUUGACUUUGCAUUUUUCUGAUUUAUUUUAAAUUUAUUUUGAAUAUUUUGAUAUAAAAAUAAUAAAAUAUUCUUAUCACAAUAACAAACCACGUCGGGGUUAAGAAAUUGAAGACGUUGUAAAUUAUAAUAGACGACUUACAUAUUAAAAUGACGUCGUUUAAAGUAGAAACCAUGUCGGAUAUUUUACUGCACGACGUAACAUAUGUAUUCCACGACUCAACCACCGUCGUUAAAAAUUAAUACCAUAAAUCCUUAAAACUAAAUUAUAUAAUUUAAAAUUUUAAGUUUAUAAAAGGGUUUAUGGUUUUACAGCCUAAUAUAUACCCUAUACUACCUAAAAAUUAUACUUUUAUGUCGGAUUUGUUUAAAAUGAAACAACAAAAAACUACGGUUUUUCACUUUAUUAGGUCGUUGGAAAAGUAUUACACGUCGGUUACGCAAUUUGUAUGUUUGUUUUUUUUUAAUUUAAGAAAACCUCAACAAAUUUUUACAUUAUAUAUUAUAGACAAAAUUUAUACAUUAUACAUCAAUAUCAAGUGUUCAAUAAUUUCCCUAUUCUAUGUGAAGGCAAACAAACUCUGCCCAUUCAUUCCGGACUUCAUCAAUUGCUUCUUGGGGGUAUGGCGCUUCCUGUUUUCUCUUGGCAUACUGCAUAAACAAUGACUAUUAGGGUUUAUAAAUAAAAAGAAAUUCAAUCACAGACGACGAUAUUUUUCAUAACCGACGUAGUAUAUCUAUUCAACGACGGUAAUUUUACAUGACCGUCGUUGAUAAUACAAAAAACGACGUAAAAUGUAUGAAGGUAAUUUCUUCUUACCUUCUUCUCAAACGCCAAGGAAGGAUCCAUGAUGAUGUCCCUCAUGAAGCGCAUCACAUAAUACCCGCAUUCGACACUGCUGGGUUGCUUUGGUGUGCCUGACAGAGUUUUCCAAAUUACUGCUUUACGGCCUGAUCUGGCUAUGUGAGAAUUAUAUAUUUUUAUAGCACUGUUCACGAUGUUUUUGCCCUCUUCAUCGACCACACGAUUUCCGGGUAGAGGAUCUAGAAAAUAGACGGUUUCCCUCUUUGCUCUCACAAUCAGCAAGAUCCAAUGACGGCUGCACAAAAUUAAUAUAAAAACGACGGUUAUUUACAAAAACGACGUAUUAUAAUAUUUCACACGACGAAAUAAAGUAGCAAUCGACGACAUUAUAUAUUUAUCACGACGAUAAAUAACUACCGACGUGGUUAGUAGUUUCAAACGACUCAAUAAAAUAAAACACCGACGUGGUUAGUUUAUACGCUGUCAUUUAUUGAAAAUCAUAAAAACAAAAUCCUGUUAAGGAGACUAACCCUGGAUUGUAAGGCAUCAUGAAAAUCUGUUCACCAUCAGUCUUCUGAAGUCGAGCUGCUACCAAUCGUGAUCUGUCAGCUAUUGUCCCAGAGUUGGCACUAACUGUAGCAGGGUCGAUAAAGCCAACCAUGCUGCACAUAUUUGCUUGUUUCAAAAGAUCAUGUAAGUACCUAAAUAUAUAAAAUAAUAUAAACAAGUCAGCACAAAAAAACACACGACGGUUAUGUAUAACAAAACGACGUAUUAUAAAAUUUCACACGACGUACUGAAAUAGACAACGACGUUAUAAUAUAUUUAUCACGACGGUACAUACUAACGACGUGGUUAGUUAGUUAAGACGACGCAAUAAAUAAACCAACGACGUAUUAUUUUAGAAUGACAAACCUCAUAUAUACAGCAAUCACAGUAGCUCAUAUUUCUUCCGUGCUUGCAAAUUGUGUAAUAUCUUCAGGCAAGAUGAAGGUAUCGCGUUCUAGACCAAACACCUCCUUAUCAAUUGUAAAGUUCAUGGUCUUAUCCUGAGGUACGAGUGUCGUUUCCACAUAACGACAAAGGGAUUUUAAAGAAGAUGGCGCCUCCAUAUUUGAAUAAUCAACAACUUUAAUAACCUGUUUAAAGAAAUAAAAAAAAAUGACGUGGUAAUUCAAUAAAAACGACGGUUUAAGGAAUAAAACGUCGUCUGAAAAGAAUUUAAACGACGGUGAAAAAACCGUCGUGGUGAACAAUUUAUUACGUCUUAGAAAAAAAUUCCGCCGUCUAAGUUGUAAACAAACGACGGUUUAAAGAAAAAUAUCGACGUCUGAAAUUUUUAAAAACAAAUAAAAAAGGCAAAGUUAUGUGAACAUACCUGGUCGUCAUGCUUUUCUUCAUCUUCUUUCUCCUUUUCAUCUUGUUUUUCUUCUUUCUUCUCUUCAUCUUUUUUUUCUUCUUCCUUCUCUUCAUCUUUUUUUUCUUCAUUCUUCUCUUCAUCUUGAUUUUCUUCAUUUUUCUGUUUUAAGUAAUAAAGAAUGUAGAGAAAGUAAAAAAAUUAAAUUCAAACGUCGUGGUAAGACAAAACACAAGACAGUAUGUAAGAAUUAUGGACGUCUUAAAUUAUUAAACGAUGGUAAAUAGUAAACGUCGUGGGAUUUAUAUAUUACGUCGGGAAUGACUAACACCGUCGUCUAAAAACCACGAAGUUUUAAAAAUAACGACGUUUAAUGGCGUGUAAAACAAGUAAACUAAAUACGACGUGGUAUUGAAAUACAAACGACGGUUUAUUUUUAAAAUCGUCGUGGUAUGUAUUUCAAACGACGGUUUUAUUAAUAAUAACGACGUCUAAUAGUUUUAAAAAAAAAUAGAGAAUUCAAAGUUCAGAUAUGUUACCUUUUCUUCCUGAUGUUUCCCAUUUUUGGCAGUAUCAUCCUCAAAAUGUAGGGAUGUCACAUCACCUCCAGAGCAGCUUGCUUUGUCAGACAUUGGAUUUUUGGGACUUUGGCUAAUUCUUGGUUUAAGCAUGCUUGGAUCAAAAUUGGGAAUUAAUUGGGAAAGCUGACUCAGGAAAUGCUCCCUCUCAGCCUCUACCAAUUGUUUAGUUCUAACCUCCAUCCUUAAAGCCUCUUCCCUUGUUUAAAACAUUUCGACGUAGUAAUUUAAUACAAACGACGCGAAAAUGAACCACCGACAUCUUAUGCUAUAAUUACAGAAAACAGAGUAGUGAUUCCUGAUUUAGACCUUUAACGAUGUUUUUUAAAAACUUUCGACGUGGUAAUAUCAUUCACACGACGCAAAAUAUAACAUAAGACGUAAUAAGAAUUAUUCACAGUUUAAUAAAAAUUUAAAACAGAGUGAGUAGGCUUACAAUUAAUUUUGCUUUCUCUGCCACCUUUGGAUCCGGGAUGUUACCAUGUUUGUCCUGUCUAGCUCUCUUCCAUAUGGUAGAUCGAUCAAUUUCUACCCCAGGCAUGGUUUCCUCCAAUUGAUCCUCCAAACCAGCAUAUCCUUUUCGAGACAAUCGAUGAUUGUACUCAAGUUUCUCCCUAAUCUGUGCAUGUUGAGAAUGCACAGACUCAAAAUCUUUGGAUAACCUUGAAGCUACAAAGGCAUUCCAUUGUGCUUUCUCUAUGAAUUUAUAUGUUUCAGGGGUUGGCUUAAUCUCUCCCUGUCAUUGGUGUAUGGAAGGAUAUAAUGCCUCGUUAGUGUAGACUUGAAAUCCUUCCAUUUCUUGACAGCAGAAGCUAACACAGAGUUCUUGCCCCCUUGACCUACCACAAAAGCAAUGUCAACUGCUUCCCAAAUCUGCUCCUUUAUAUCCUUGGGGAUUUGAGCCCAUUUCAUGUCCACAAGUGAAACUCUGGAGCGUGCCAACACACCAAUGUAGGACUGCAUCUCACUAUGUGCUUGGUCAAUUCCUUUCCCCCUUUUAUUGUACUCAAAAAUUGGCCUGAGUUUCUGAAGUUUUUUCUUCACAACACGAGGCAUUGUGCUCAUACCUCAACCAGACUUUGAAUCAUCAGAGAUUGUUGUCGUGCUGGUUGGUUCUGUCUCAGCAGAUGAUGAAGCAAACUUCAUCUUCUUCGAAGACUUCUCUUGAGGAGUUACCAUUCCAAGCUCCUUACCUCCAUUUUUCUUAGAGCCAGAGUCCUUACUUUGGUCUUGAGAAACCAUUUUUACAGACAAAACUGCAAGUGAAAAUAUUUCAGGAAAAGAUUAAGAACACAAACGACGGUUAUUAAUAAAAUAAGACGUAUGAUAUGAUUUUAAACGACGCAAUGAAAUAAUCUCAGACGUAAUAAAUGUUUAAAACCAAGGUAAUUAAACAACGACGAAAUAAUAUAAAAUAAGGCGUAAUAAUAACUUAUUACGUCGAUAUUUACCGGAUGGCGUGAUAAUUAACUAUAAACGACGAAAUAUUUAUAUAACGUCGUGGUAUUGAUGUUCACACGACUUCAAUAGUAAUAUACCGUCGUCUAUAUAAGGAUCCAAAACCCUUCUUUUUUUCUCUGUGAAUGUUUGAUUGCAGAUUUGAUUUUUCUGAACCAUGGUUUUUGUUUUCUAAUUUGAUAAAAUACAAGGCCAAGAAAGAAAGUUUUGGAAUCUUAUAUAGACGACGGUAUUUUAAUAUGAUGUCGUGGUAUUAACAUUCACACGACGUAAAACAAUAAGAUACUGUCGUCUAUAUUAGAUACCAACCCUACUUUCUUUUUCUUUAUAUUUUAUCAAAUUAGGGAAAAACAAAAACCAUUGUUCAGAGAAAUCAAACCUGCAAUUAAACAAGCAAAUAAAAAAAAAGACUAUAAUUUUAAAAACAACUUUGUCAAUUUUCAGACGACGCUAGAACGACUGACGAACCGUCGUGGUCUACAUAUUUAACCACGUAAAUAAGAAGCUACCGUCGUCUUAUUUAGUUGAGGUAGUUGUCUUCAAAGUUGGAAACUUUCCCUCUGUCUGUAUAUUUUAUCAAACUUGGAAAUAAGUAAAAUGAUUUUGGCCAGAAAAAAGGUAAAAAGAUUUUUCAAACAAAAAACGUAUGAGCAUGCAUAACAGCAACCAAAAUAGUGAAAAUGAAAGCUUACCUUUUGCGUGCAAUGAAAGCAAGAAGAAGACGAUGUUUAAGUUCAGAGAUGACGAAGAAGACGAAAGGAAGACGAUGAGAUACUCUGACAGUGCUCUGACAAGGAAAAAAGUCAAAAAGUUUUCUCUGGGAGAUUGAAAUUUUUAAUCGGGUUUGGAAACAGUGCAUGUGUAAGUCAGGGAGACGAAAAGUUGCUUACAUAUAAAACCAUUUCAAAAAAAUAAUACGGCGGUUACAUAUAACUACGACGUAUAAAUUACAAAAUACGACGGUACAUUUAACUUCGGACGUGGUAAAUAAAUACGACAGUAGUGUUGUAGGUACCGUCGUAGUAAACUCAAAAAUUAAAGUACAUAAGUAAUAACUCGCGUCAUGGUAGAUUAUUUAACACGUCGUCUUUAUUAAUGUACCGACGUGGAUUUCUGUAAUAUACGUCGGUCAUACCGACGUUGAUUUUAUAAUUUAAACGGCGGUUUUUUUGUAAGGACCGCCGUUGGUUUUAAAAAUUUAUUCUAUAAAUUUGUCGCUUUCAUUCAUUUUCGGUUUACAUUUCGGGUUCCAAGUUCUUCCUCUCUCAGAGACACUGUCUCUCACAUCUCAAAGACAAUAAUUUGGAUGUCUUUCUCAAAGAGAAAUUGAGCUUACUCGCAUCAAAUCUAUGUCCACAAGAAGAAGCUUGUCAACUAGCCUUCUCACUUCCUUGAUCAAGCCUGAUAGGACACUUAGUGCUUCUGAAUACUCCUUGCUUUCCAUCAAAAGAGAUGCAAGCCUGGCCUCCACUCGCUGUCGAAGGAAAGUUCGCUUCUCAGGGAAAUCUGAAGAUCAGAUGUGCCUGAUCCUCUGCUUGAUUUUCUUGGCUAAGAAGAUCCGUCAGAUUUGUGAUAGCCUCUUCCUUUAUCCGUAGAGCUUCAGAAGAAGAAGAUGGGUUUCAAGAAUGCGAUAAAGAAUAGAAAUGGCUUCAGAUGGCCUCUAAAGCAUGAGCAAUCGAAUCAGUAGUUGCUGGGAGAUAUGAUGAAGACAUUGUCAAUGCUUUGAACUAUACAAGUCCUGCAGAAAGAUAAAGGACCAAACUAUUAAAGAAACUGAAACAACGGCGGUUUUCUGUUCUACCGUCGUCUUUUCUCGUCGUCUAUAUUAAGGUAAGAUGGCGGUAGAUUUAUAAUUACCGACGUAGAUUAUUUUGUUAAACGUCGUUAAGUGUACUACAACCGACGUGGAUUUUAUUUUUAAAUUAUAAAUAGAGUUUUUUUUUCCCGAAUUCUUUCAGUUUUAGUUUUCAAUUACAAAGCGUGAUAAAUAGAUUUUUCUUUCCCGAGGAAAUUUAAAAUGAGGGAAAUUAAUGUUCUAGAAUUUGUAAACUAACACGACGCAAUAUUACUAACCCGAGGAAAUUAUAAAUAGAUUUUGCUUUCCCGAAGAAAUUUUAAAUUAAUUCAGUUUGAAACAACGACGGUUUUUUGUUAUGCCGUCGUUUUUAACUAACACGACGCAAUAUUUGUUUUACGACGUGGAAUCUUUUCAUUUAACGUCGUUAGGUUUAAUAUAACUGACGUGGAUUUGAAUUUUUAAAUUAUGAAUAGAAUUUUUUUUCCCGUGACCUUUCAGUUUAUUUUUCAAUUACAGUGCGUUAUAAAUAGAGUUUUUUUUUCCGGAGGAAAUUUAAAAUGAAGGAAAUUAAUGUUCUGGAAUAUGUAAACUUUCUUUUUUGGAUGACAGAUUUAAAUAAAAUAAGAAUAUAAAAACAACGACUAUUUUUGUAUUACUAUCGUCGUUUUUCGUCGUCUUAAGUAAGACUAAGACGACGUAAUAUAUUUGUUGAGCGACGUUGAUUUGUUUUUUAAACGUCGUUAGGUAUAAUAUAACCGUCGUUGAAAAUUGUCUCUCUGAUUGCAAAUUUGCAACGACGUUAGGUAUAAUAUUUGUAGAUACACAAACGCACACACAUCAUCACUUCCAAAAAAUUGUCUCUCUGAUUGCAAAUCUGUGAAAUCUGUUAAGAUUAUGAUGUGGAACAGAGUUCCAUCUGGUAAGAUUUCGUAACCCUUGGGAUCUCAGACAAAUCUGAUUAUGUCGGCGGUCUUCUAUAUAAACCGUCGUGGUUAUUUCAAUUCUUGUCAUUAAGUAGAUCUACUGACGUAGGAUAAGAAAAUCAAAGAAAAAAAUAGUUAACAAAAAUUCUUAUUAAGACGACGGUUUAAAUUAAAGGUACGACGUAUAAAAUGAAUAAAUACGACGUUAAAUUUUAUUGUACGAUUUAAAGAUAACGUCGUAGAACUAUACGAGAAUGACGUCGAUAUAUUUAUAUUUUCCGUCGUUGUACAUUAAUUUAAUACGGCGAUAUUUUGUAUUUUAAAGCCGUGAAUUUGUUUGUAAUUAUACGGCGUCUUAUACGAAAACCUCGUCGUGUUAUUUUAUGAGUAAAAACGGCGGUUUUUAUUGAAAUCGUCGUCUUUACUUUCUACGUCGGUCGAUUCAUAACUUCUGCCGUUCUUUGUUGGCAUUGAUUUUACACUGCAGAAAUCUGUUUCAAAUAGACGUCGGUUGUUUAAUUAGGUACGUCGUUGUUUUUUAAUAGCCAUUUGAAUCUCCAUUUUUUAGUUGUCUAAGGUUGUAUUACACGACGGUGUUUUUAGAACCGUCGUCUUUUUAAAAAUCACGACGGUUUUCACUUAGACCGUCGUUGUUUUCUGGUCGUCUUUUUCACUUUUUGUAGUAGUGUUUGGUUCGCGUAGGUUCUUUAUUUUUCUUUGUUAAAUCCAACCAUAUAAAAACUAAAAUAUGGAUUAAGAGUUGGAAAGUUAUAGGUCAAAAAUGGGACAGAGGUCGAAACUGGAAAACCGAGGAAGUUCAUAAAUUCGUCUAUGACCUAAAAUGAGAUAAAAUUGUGGUAUCCUAGUGAUACAGAAGUGAUACAGUGGUGAUACAUAAGUGAUACAAAAUGUUGCUUGUGUUUAAUAUCCUGAUAGAUAACUUGUUUUGAAAAUAUAAAAUUAAAUAUUAAAGUAAUAUAAACUUUGACAGAAUCCAUAUUUGCUUCAAACUUUCUCAAUCAAUAACAAAAUUCCAACGAUACGCCUUCUUUCUUUUUGUAGCGCCACAAUUGAUGAUCAAGCAUGAUUUUCCAUAUUUAAACCCAAAUUUUCUGAUUUUGAAUUUUGUUCAUUUUCUAAAUUUCCUUCGUAGGAACAAGUUUAUAAUUUGUCCUACAUCAUUUCUCUUCUAAUUAAGUACGUAUCCCAAAUGUUAAAAAUAGAAUUUCAUAAAUAAAUAAAUUUUAAAAAAAUAAAAAAUUCGGUAUAAGUCCAAAAUCAAAAAUAGAAGUUGGAUGUAAUCCCCAUAUUUGUUGUUGUUGAUACAAGUCCUUUGACUUUUGUGCCACGUAUGAUUACAAUUAUUAUUAUUUUUUAUUUAUAUAUUAUUAUUUUCAUUUUUAAAUUACUGUCAUGCCUCUAAAAAUUAAUUAAGGUAAGAAAUUAAUUUUUGUCAUAAUAAUUAUGCUAUUGUCAAAAUGAUAUAAACGGAAAAUACUGCCACAAAUCACGUCUCCUAUAAGUUUUGAAAUAGCUAUUAUAUUUCAAUCAUGCUCCUAUAUGAAUGUUGGCUUUCUUUCUAUUGUGGCUUUGUAUUCUUGCACUAUGACAACUUGUACACAAGGUACAUAAAUAUUCUUUUACUCUUUGCCACAGCUUUUGUGACAGAACUCGCCCCGAAUUCCUCAAAACCCGAGACGAAUCCUAUGGAGAUUCUAACAUCACAUUGAUGACGGGCCCACUUACUAAUACUAUAGACUCUUUCCCAAACUAAAGAAAAGGGGCACGAGACUUUCUGCUGAAAUUUCAACAGAGUCUUCCCUGAAAAAUGGGUGUUUCCCAAAAAAAUUUCAACCUGCUAAAAUACAAUCAAAAUCAUCCCAACAGCAUCAUACACAAGAUAAUAACAUGUAAUUUACGUAAUAGGCCUUUGGCCUUCAAAUAAUUCGAAACAGAACUACCAGCAAUGCUCUUAAGUCAUAUAAUACAUUAAACAAUGCAAAUAAUGAACUCAAACAAAUUUAUGAAUGCCCACUGUAAUUAACAUAAAAUAACUUCCCAAUUUCCAUCAUGCGAUAUUUAACAUCCAAACACCAUCGCAAGUAGUUUAAAGCCUUAGCCCAAAUCGUACAACAAUCCAAAACGGGUUUCAUACCUGUCUUGGCUAGAAACACAUUUAAACAACACCCACUUAGUCAAACUAGAAUAUGAGUUAGUCAAACUGAAAUAUGAGUAAUCAUUUCAAUCACGCCUCAUUUUCAAUCGAGCUUCAGGACCACCAACAGAAUCAAAACUCAACUCAUCAAAAACAAAAGUAAAAAGACUAGAUCCAAAUGACUAGAUUAAAAUUUCAGAAAUAAACUUUAGCUCGAGGCUGCACCUAGGUAAGACCCCAGGCUACCUACAUACUACUUUGUGAAAGAUCAAGCCACACGUAGCUCUUAUUACAAAAAUCACAGUUCAUAUAACAUACAAUCAUUUUCAGUAAUACUAAUAAGUUUAUUCUAGAAUUAUCUUUGCCCUUAAGUUUAAAUCACAUCAUACCAAAUAUAAUCCUUUUUAAACAUUAAUCUUUUCUCGACAUAUAGUAUAAUAAUCUCUUUAUCCUCUUCCUGUUACUUUACUACACGUCGGAGAGUCCAACACCACGCGUAGUAAAGUAAUAGUAGCCCAAGUGUACAAAUCAUUUACCACACGCUGUAAAGUCCAACGCCACGUGUAGUAAAGCAAUCAGUGUCCCAAUGAGCUCACACGCCGGAAUAUCCAACGCCACGUGUGACCCAACCAACCAUGUUCCAUGUGCACAGACUGCUUUAUCACACGUUGGAUAAUCCAAUGCCACGUGUGAUAAGCUAAUAACAUAACCAUUUAUGCCCAUACGCCAGAUAAUCUAACACCACAUGUGGGUACCAUAAUCAAGGGAGGGUACUUAGCGUGGGGUAAUCCCAGAUUCACAUAACCAAACAAUAAGGUAGCCCAUCUUAUGUUAAUCUCUUGUCAUUUAUUUAAUCCAUAUUCAAAUUAAUUAUAAGCCUCAUUAACCGAAAUACCCCUUUACCAACCUUCAGUAAACCAUUUCGAUUUUAUUCAAAACACUAAUCAAAUACUUAGGAAUAAACAAUCUCUGAAAAUUCCCUAAGACAAGAUAAUAAAAUCCAAAACACCGUAUCUUACACCAGAGUUACAUAAUCUUUUAUAAAUAAUAUUAAUGGCACUAAUAAUAAUAAUAAUAUUAAUAUUAAUAAUAACAAAAUAUAAACGGGAAGUCUCUUGUGACACGAGACUUCCCGUUUAUAUUUUCCCAAAUUAUAUAUAUAUAUAUAAAUACUAUUCCCUUCCUAAAUUAAAAUUUUCCAAAUAUUUAUUUCUAGUAUAGAAAAUAAACUCUCAAGCCUAUAUUCCAUAAAGGCCCAAAAUAAUUCAAAUAGAAAUCAAAACUUGUGUAUGCUUAACUUCCAUAAAAUACUAUAUUUCAUAAUUAAAACAAUAGACUUUCGUAAAUAAUCCGAUAUCACCCAGUCCAUAUACUUUAAUAAUAAUCAUAAUAAUAAUAGUUAAUGAUAAAUAACAACCUUUAGAGAUCCCAUAUCCUCAUUAACCCAUAUUAAAUCAAUUUUCAAUCCAAAACUCAUUAUGCAAGAAAUUCCAUAUUAGAAUAACGAUGUACACUUAAAAACAAACAUCCAUUUAUUUACUAAUAAUCAUAGCCGAGACCCAAGACUCGCUUUCAUAACCCAUCGGCCAAGUAUCUCAUACUCAUCUAUUCCACAACUUCAAGUAUCAAACUAAUAAUCCAAGAAUUUUAGUCAACAUAACUCAAAUAAUAUUCAAGACUCCUUAAUAAGGUCGAUCUAGUACUCCUCGAAGGAUGAGACUACCUCAGAAGACUCAUGGUCAACCGAGGGGUCAAACUACCCAAACUGGUCAAUCGGGCCUCGGGGCCCACGACCUCAGAUUAUCGAUCCGAAAGUUCCUAAGGAUUCAACAAGAUUUAUUAGACAAGUCCCGCAAGUUUGGUCUGGAUCGUUCGCGAUCGCACGAUCGGAUGUUUAUUGUUUAAUGCAAACUUUAAGUCGUUGAAUCGGCGUAUCCGAGACUCUGAUUCACAAUCCACGAAUUCAUACAUAAUCUCAUAAAUGCCCAAAUCAACACAUAUUAAUUUGGAGUUGAUUCAACAUAUCGAACCCGGAUAACGCAUAAUGUGCGAUAUCUAAUCAAUUAUCAAACGAUAACCAAAUUCAAGUCCAAGCAUACCAUCAUGCUCGGACGACAUUGAGGUUAUUUUAGGACUCAAGGACCAGCCACAAGGUGGCCCACACGCCGGCAGCGUGUGAGUGUUCAAAGUGAUUUCGGUGAUCAAAAAUUCUCUAAACCGCCGGUCAAGACUUAUGCCUACAUGAUCAGGACAUUGAGUGGAGCAACUUUUGUUCUUUGACCUACCCCAAAAAGUGACCAGAGGUAGCUGGAAUCACGGGCCGAAACUGGCCAAAACUUCUAUCACUUAAUUGACAUCCAAAAUGGGGAAAUUGAUCCUAAAUAACCAACCAGCAGCUAGAUCACAUUGAGAGGAUGGAAAAUCAUACAUGGAUCGCAAGAUUUGGUUGCUAGAAUCGUUCGAACGAGCUCCGAAAAUUUUAUGUAAAAAUCUGGCCGUAUUUCUACAAAUUCCUGCGGCGGCGUUGGUUGUCGGCGAGGCAAAGAUAGGGUGGAACAAAGAGAGGAGACCACAGUGGUCCUUUUGGGACCCAUUCCACCCAAAAUUGUGGCUGGCUAAACAUGGCUGGUUGUUCAAAAAAUAUCGGGGGUGGGGUUCUGUUCGCGACGAGGGAGAGUUUGAGAGAGAGAGAGAGAGAGAGAGAGAGAGGUUCUGAUAUUCAAAAAAAAAAUCAACGUUGAAAAAAUUACAAUUGUGCCACUGAGCUUCUCUUAGUCGCAACUCCUUCGUUCCAACUCUGAUUCGAGGCCACUACGUGUCUACGAACUCAUCUUGGCACGAUCUAUGUAAUGGUGUCAAACAUUCCCUAGAAUCCUUCCAAUUAAAAAGUGACCAAAUUACCCCUACCUCUAGGGACAAAAUUGAAAUUUCAAAAUUAAUUAAAUUAACGAAUAAUUUUAUUUUGGGUCAGUGUGUUACAUUUUGUUAUUCACUGAUUUUGUUUGUUUGUUUUCCUCUUUGAUAAUACAAUUCCUCACUGAUAUUGUUUGUUUGUUUUCUUCUUUAAUAAUACAAUUCCUCAUUGUUUUACUUUUUAUUUUGUUUAGCUCACUUUUUUUCUUCACGUUUUUGUUGCUGUAAAGUUCAUUCCCACGUAAUAUCUUUAAUUAAGAUGCAAUUAACCAUUAACACAAGUGGAAUUUGUGUUUUCCCGCCAUGUCAUUUUCGAUUCCUUUGUUUCUUGAUAUUUAAUUAUCUUCCAGUUUUUCCUUUUUUUUUUCCAUGUUUUUGUUGUGGUGUUUUACAAUUAUUGGUUGUCUCACUCAAAUUCACACAUUUUAUCUAAAUCUACAUGUUUAUCAAGUAUAGUAGAGUAUACUACUUAUGUGGUAGGUACAUUAUGUUAUAUUUACCUAGUAAUUAGGUGUAUGAUUUUAUAUUUACCUAGUAUUUAGGUACAUUAUCUUAUAUUUAUCUAGUAUUUAGGUACAUUAUCUUAUAUUUACCUAGUAUUUAGGUACAUUAUCUUAUAUUUAACUAAUAAUUAGGUAUACUAUAUCAUAUAUACCUAGUAGUCAAAUAAAUAUUCGUUGGGAAGAUAUCAUCAAUAAUUCUCCUACUUUCACUGUUUUAUAUGAACUUCUUUUAUGUCAUGACGGCAAUAGAAGUAUUCAAAAUUCAAAUUUUGAAAUCUAUUUAGAAGGAAAGAACAUUAAUUUGGAUUUUCAGUUAAUAUUCUUUCUUUAUUUUUCUUAAAGGGUAAAACUGACAUAUGAAAAAAUUAAUAAAAGUCAAUAGACCCAAAUAUACAGCAAAAAAAGUGUGUACUAAAUCUAACGAUGACUAGGAAUUUUAGGGCUCGUUUGGUACACAGGACUGUCUUGGCAUGGACUAUGCUUAGGGACUGGCUUGGCUUGACUUGGCUUGGUCUAAGUUGGAUAACACUUAUCUUACGUUUGGUGUAUGCUUGGAUUAGGACUAUAAUUUUUUUAUUUUUUCAAAAAUAUCUAUAUAUAUGUAUUUUAUAAUAUAUAAAAUAUAUAUGUAUAUAUACAAUUACAUACAUAUGAUAUAUACAUAGGUGUAUAUAUGUAUAUUAUAAUAUACAUGGGUAUAAUACAUAUACAUAUAUUUAUAUAUAUGUAUGUAUAUUAUAAUAUAUAAUAUAUAUAUAUGGGUAUGUUGUAAUAAUAAUAAUAUACAUGUAUAUACGUGUAUAUACGUAUAGUAUAUAUGUAUGUAUAUAUACAUAUACAUUAUAUAUAUUAUAAAAUACAUAUGUAUAUAUAAUAUAUGUAUAAUAUAUGUAUAUAUAUUAUAUAUUAUAACAUGGGGGUGGAUCCGUGGCACCAUGUUUUUGACACAAGUUUUGACACAAAUUUUAAACCCUUAGAUUAGACUACAAUAAAUGGCUGAGAUUAAAUAAACUAAUUCUUUCAACUUAAAAUAAUUAUAAUUUAAUUUAAUUAACUUUGCUAUUCAAUUUUCUCUCUCCACAUUUAUAUUUUCACUUCUUCCUAAAAGCAUCAACAUUCUAUCUCACGACAUCUUCUUCUUCUUUUUCAUGACUUUCCCUUUUUUUUACUUCUCUCUUCUUUUUGCCCACACACUAUUUUCCUCCAUAACAAGAAACAACGAACCCAACCCAUAUAGCAAAAUCAAAUACCCAGUAGGGAAGAUUGACGUAGGGAGGAGGAAGGUUGAUCUUUGUAAUUUUUUUUUUCGUUUUUUUUUUCUGGUGCUGCUAAAUUAAAACCUCUAUUUCCCCUUGCUGAGAAAAACAAAAAAAGGAUCAAGCAGUUAGUUGAUUGAGAUUCAUUUUGAUCAUCCCCAAUGAAAUUUCAAGAACCUAAGAGCAUGAUUACCCUGCCCUCCAUGGAACUCCCCCAAAUUCGUUUUGAUUCUGAGUGGAGAGAAAGUAAUUGCAUAUAACUAGCAGUAGGCAAAUGGAGAUUUUUGGCACAUCGAGGCUGUGGAGGAGAUUACGCUGGGCAUGGAGGAAGGGGGAUGUAGAAUUUGGAGACAGUCCAAUUCAUAAUUAUUAGAUUAAAAUAAUAAUAAUUAGAAUAAAUGUAUUAUUUCCAAGAUAAUAAUAAAUUAGCUGUGAGAUUUAAUCUGAGUCAUUAAUAGUGCUUAAAUCUAAGGGUUCAAAAUUUGUGUCAAAAGUUGUGUCAAAAAUAUGGUGCCACGGAUCCGCCCCCUUAUAACAUACAUAUAUAUAUGUAUAUACAUGUAUAUAAUAUAUGUGUAUAUAGGUGUAUCUAUAUAUUAUAAUAUAUAUAUGGGUAUAAUACAUAUAUAUAUAUAUAUGUAUAUUAUAAUAUAUAUACAUAUAGUAUAAAUAUAUAAUGUAUAUGUGUAUAUACGUGUGUAUAUGUAUAUUAUAAUACAUACAUGGGUAUAAUAUAUAUACACAUAUAUGUAUAUUAUAAUACAUACAUGGGUAUAAUAUAUAUACACAUAUAUGUAUAUACAGAGAGCUUCCAUUGAGGGAUCCCUCAAAUAAGCUUAUUUGAGGGACACUCCUUGUAGGCCCCACUCCGGACUGUAUUUCACUAAUCCAAACCGUCUAUUUUGUAGAUACUCAUUCAAAGAUCAUCCCUACAAAAAAUCACUUGAAUCCGAUAUCAUUUGACCACUCAAUUAAGUUAUUGAAAUUUUAGCAUUUUCUUGAAGUACCGUGUUCAUUGAUUUUGUAAGACACAAUUGGAUGUCGAAACGGUUUUCAAUUUGUCUAAUUUUUUGUAAGGAUGAUCUAUGAAUGAAGACCUAAAAAAUAGAUGUUUGGAUCAUUGGGAAAAAAAUUGUAGGGUACCCUAAAGGGCGUCCCUUAAAUAAUUUUAUUUGAGGGAUCCCUCAAUAGAAUGGGACUGUAUGUAUAUAUACUUAUAUAUAUAUAUAUUACAUAUAUUCAUGUAUGCUAUUAUUAUAAUAUUAAUAUGUAUGUGUAUAUGGGUAUAUUAUAAUAAUAAUAUACGUGUAUAUAUCUAUAUGUAUUUAUAUAUUAUAUAUGUAUGUAUGUGUUUAUAUAUAUAUAUAUACGUGUAUAUAUGUACAUUAAUAUAUAACAUAUUAUAUAUUACAUAUAUACAUGUAUACAUGUAUGCUAUUAUUAUAAUAUUAAUAUGUAUGUGUAUAUGAGUAUAUUAUAAUAAUAAUAUAUGUGUAUAUAUCUAUAUGUAUUUAUAUAUAUAUUAUAUGUAUAUAUGUGUUUAUAUAUAUAUACAUGUAUAUGUGUAUAUAUAUAUGUAUAUAUGUACAUUAUAGUAUAUGUGUAUGUAAUAAUAAUAAUAAUAAUAAUAAUAUAUGUUAUUAGUAUUACAAUAUAAUAUAUGCAUCUUGUACAUUGGUGAACAUAGGACUAGCUAAUCUUCCCUUUCUACAUGGGCUUAGUAGUCCCCUUCUAAUGAGGUGUUUUUGGUGGGCCCGGUAUUAGCAAUCUCAUCUAAGACUAGAAUUAAAUGAAACAAACAUGGUACUAAAUUUAGUCCAAACCAGUCCAAGCCAAGAUUGUGUACCAAACGACCUCUUAGACUCAGAUCAAAAAACUCCUAAAAAAAAUCAUAGGUGGAGACAAAGCUUUCUAAUAAACGUGACAACGUGUACAUUAUUACAGUCCCCAAUUUGUUCUUCACGUCCACUGCGAACCCGAAAAAUAAGUUACGCAGUUGUCAAAGUCUCUCUAUUAUCUUGACUUAUGUUGUUGAUCAAGAAUCUUGAAUGGAGAGUACGUAUAUAUGGAGCCAAAAGCUUGACUUGGAAAAGUCUUUGAUGAUGACCAUAUGGCCCCACUUGUGCAAAAGAUAUUCCACUCAGAGAUCCACACUCAUAACAUAUCCAUGUAACUCUCCCCCCCUUUACUUCUCUUUGCUAAUAACCCAAGCAUCAAACAGACACGUUGAUACAAUUCCCAUGAUGAAACCAAUUCUCAGCAAACCUCUUUACUUUUCCUUGUUUGUGCACCUGAUCAUUGUCACCGUGUUCGCAGCCAGCGAUCCGCAACCUGUCUACUCUCCGGUUGAAGAUAUCACCGUUAAUUGUGGCUAUUCCGGUGACAAGAUCGGUGAAGAUGAUGGCCGAAAUUGGAUUGGAGAUAUCAACUCAAAAUUUUCACCGUUUGAACACCAAGCAGUCGGUAACAAAUCCGAAUCCAAAGAAGCACCUCAUUCGUACACCUUCAAACCGGUGCCUUACACCACAGUGCGGCUUUCUCGCUCUGAAUUUACUUACAGUUUUAAACUCAAUAGCGGCCAGAAGUUCAUCCGCUUGUAUUUCAACCCAGUUUCCUAUGGCCCGGACUUUGACCAAUCCAAAGCCCUCUUCUCAGUCAAAGCAGGGAACUUUACCCUUCUCCACGACUUCAAUGCUUCAGUCACUGCCGAAGCUUUUAAUUUUACCAAAAUAAUAUACAGGGAGUUCUGUUUGAACAUUGAUGAGGAAAAGAGCUUGAACAUCACAUUUACUCCGAGCAGAACAAUCCCAGAUGCGUAUAGCUUUAUCAACGGAAUUGAAAUUGUGUCCAUGCCCACCAAUCUUUACUACAGUCCGCUUGAAAUGGAAAGCGCCCGUCAGAUUAAGACAGUUGGUUCCGGAACCAACUUUCGCAUCGAAAACAGCACUGCUCUGCAGAUGGCGUACCGAAUAAACAUUGGCGGCAAGUCGCUAUUGUUCAAAGAAGACACAGGCAUGUACCGCAAUUGGGAUGAUGGUGAAAUGGAGCAAUAUUACUUGGAAGAUUUAAGUGUUACGAGAAGCGUUAGACCACAAAACGUUAGUACUCAACUCAACUUUUCUGAAAUACCAGCGUACACAGCACCAGAGGAAGUGUACCGAACGGGCCGGUCGAUGGGCAGAAACGAUACCCUAAACAAGAGCUACAAUCUCACCUGGCGUUUUCCCUUAGAUUCCAAGUUUUAUUACCUGGUUAGGCUCCAUUUUUGUGAGUUUCAACAUGCAAUUAGCCAGACUUACGACAGGACGUUUGCAAUCUACAUGGACAAUCAAACUGCUGAAACAAAUGCUGACAUAAUUCAAUGGAGUCAUGGAAAUGACAGACCAGUGUACAAAGACUACGUGGUAUUUAUUCCUGAAGGCCACGAGUAUCUUUUUCUCGCACUGCGUGCAAAUCCAAAUGAUCAGACGACGACAUACAGCGAUGCACUCUUGAACGGGCUGGAAAUCUUUAAACUUGACUCACAAGGAAAUCUCGCCGGACCAAACCCAGUUCCACCUCCUAUGAUCCUACCAAAGGGGCCCUCAAAACCCAACAGCAACAACAAGAAGUCAAGGCCUCCUAUGCUUGCCAUUGUCGGUGGUGUUGUAAUUUCCAGUACACUUGCAGCGCUAUGUGCACUCGGGUUCUUGGUUUUCAGGCAAAGGCGGAAAGCCAAGGAGUCCGACCGCUCCAGCCACGGAAAGACGAACUCAACCAACACUCGCGACUCAUCUUUACCCUCCGAAUUGUGUCAUCGCUUUUCACUAGCCGAGAUCAAGGCCGGCACCCAAAACUUCAAAGAUAUUUGUAUUAUUGGGCGUGGCGGGUUUGGCAACGUGUAUAAAGGAUACAUCGAUGAUGGAGGCACCCCCGUUGCAGUCAAAAGGCUGAAACCAGAGUCGUCACAGGGGGCCCUCGAGUUCAAGACAGAGAUCGAGAUGCUCUCUCAACUCCGCCACCGUCAUUUGGUUCCACUCAUUGGGUAUUGUAUGGAUGAAGGUGAGAUGAUCUUGGUGUAUGAAUACAUGGCACAUGGGACCCUCAGAGACCAUCUUUACCACACAGAUAAUCCAACUCUUUCUUGGGAAGAAAGGCUUCAGAUUUGUAUUGGCGCAGCAAGGGGAUUACACUACCUUCAUACCGGUGCCAAGUAUACCAUCAUCCACCGUGAUGUAAAGAGCACAAACAUCUUGCUAGAUGAAAAGUGGGUGGCCAAGGUUUCGGAUUUUGGGUUGUCAAAAAUGGGCACAAUCACUAUGUCCAAGACCCACAUCAGCACGAUGGUGAAGGGUAGUUUUGGGUAUCUAGAUCCCGAAUACUACCGCCGUCAACAACUCACUGUGAAGUCUGAUGUGUACUCAUUUGGUGUAGUCUUAUGUGAGGUAUUGUGUGCGAGGCCAGCUUUGAUUCGUACGGUGGAGAAGAAGCAAAUGAGCUUGGCUGAGUGGGCCAAGAACUGUCACCGAAAUGGGGCACUUGAGCAAAUCAUUGAUCCGAGCUUGAAGGGUAAGAUUGAAACCCACUGCUUCAAUAAAUUCGCCGAGAUUGCAAUGAGCUGCCUGCAUGAUAAUGGGAUUGAAAGGCCAUCAAUGAAUGAUGUGUUGAGCGGGCUUGAGUAUGCAUUGGAGCUUCAACGGAGCGCUGAUAGGGAUAUCAUCAACAACACUAACACUGGAAGGAAGAAGGAAGAUGAGGUUGCUCUCACCAAGAACAUGCAAGGGUUUAGUUCUAGUGAGAAAACUUGUGCGACCAGUGAAUCCAUUACAGGGAUGUCUGGGACAUUGUUUUCCAAGAUCAAUGAUUCGGAAGGCAGAUGAUGAUGAGGAGCAUUAACUCACCAAAUAAUCUGCCUAAAACCGUGGCAUGGCAUGGAAUAAAUGACGAAAGCAGUUAGUGUCACAAAGAUCAGAUGAUGUUUCUCACUCAUUCCCUCAUUACUAUUCUUAAUUUUUAGGUCAUGUUUUCAUCUGCCUCUUUAAAAUUCGAGUUGUUAUUUUGAAUUUUGAGGUGAUUUGAGAGGUUUAUUAUUAUUUUUUUUAAAUAAAGAAAGAUGUUAUACUAGCAAGACUUUUUUGUUAACAAAGAAAGAUGUUUUUGGGAAUUUGAGGUGUCACUUACAAGACUUUUGUUAACAAAAGAAAGAUGGGCUUGUUCAUAUGAAAAAAUAAAUAAAAAAAGAUGGAAUUAUUUUAAUGAGAAAAAGAAAUAAAGUUUGAUGUUCAUAACUUCAUAUAAGACUGGUUUGUUUUGAUAGUUAUGAACCUCCGAAGAUAAAUUUAAGGGUCCAUGUCCAUCUCACUGUGGAUCACAUAUUAUAUAUCAACUAGUAUGAUAUAAAAAGAGUGGACAGCUUCUUUCAUUUUUGUUUUUUUUCUUGACCAAAGAAAGAAUAUAUAGUAGAACUUUAUUUUUCCUUGACAGUACGAAGUGGACUAGUCACACAAUGGAUAAGAAGGGCCAGAAGCUGUGGCCUCCGCUGGCCUAAGAAAAAUAAGGGCUAGAAGAAGAGAAAUAAUCUGUGCCAAGCAAUCGCACUAGCAUUAUUGAUUCCCUUUUACAUAUAUCUCUGUCAAUUACUGCAGCCGACAAAACCAUGUGUGUGAAAAUGAUCAUAAAACUCCAAAACCCUGCUGUCUGUUUGUGUUGAAUUAUCAACGCACCACCAGCACCACGCGAGGACUUCCAUAAGUUAGCAAGCUACUGCUAGCUUUAUAAUAAGAGUCGCGGGUGUUGUACAAACCUGCAGUGCGAGAGAAAAUAAUUAACAAGGAGGAAGGAGCUGGGAGCUGCAGGUGUGAAGAUGGGUCACCGAUCUCAUUCAGUAUCUCUAAUACUGUCGGUGACGGUGAUGGUAAUGGCCAUGUCGACGGAGCUGCCCAUCACAAGCCAUUGCAUGAUGAUGAACAAGAGCAGCACUCCCUUGAUCAACUGGUCUAAUAAUUCCCUGGUCGAAUUUAAAUUUGACCGAGACCUGCUUAAUAACAACAUUGACGGAGCACAGGGUGAAUCGGACUUGGGCUUGGCGGUCGUCAUGCACAUGGUGGAUUCAGAAGAAACUAGCAGAAGGCUCUUGACAGCCGCUCGGUUUAGUUUUGCAAUACAUAGUCUACAAGGUAGCAGCACGUUUUGUUCGAAGCAAGGCUCCCAGUAUGAUGGUUGCCUUGCUCAAAAAAAUAUCCCCACCCAUAACAACUGUCGCGGUGCUGACCCGUACCGUAAGGACUGCCCACACUAACUUGCCGCAAUACGUACGUAUUCUGCUUCUUGUUAGAGUCAUGCAAUAUUACACUAGUUUCAUUUCUGGAUGUAAUUAAUUAAGUGGGGAUGGACGACACUUGUAGACUGGUCGGCUCUGCUUGAUUUGGUUAUGGACCAUGUCUUAAUUAAUUAAAUAACUAAUAUGCUGUUGUUGCUUGCCUUAGUAGAUAAAAAAAUCUGUAUAUCAUGGCGAUAUUAAUGUGUUUUUUUAUUGUACUCGUAUAAUGUUGGAGUGUAUAUAUGGACUUCACAAUUGCGUGCAGUCUUGAAAAUGAGUUGUAAAUUGUGAUAUGGUGUAAAAACGAACAAAAGAAAUAAAAACAGAGAGUGGUGAGUAUGAUGAAAAUCUAAUAAAAGUUACUUAUUACGAUUAGACCAUGGAAGUCUUCCACAAGAGCAUAUCCAUGCAGCAUCAUUGAAUUUAUAUUGUCAGCCAUUGAAUUUACUUUAACAAAAUCAGACGGCUAAGAUUAAAAGAGGAAAGAAAAGGAUCUGAUAUUUUUAUUUAUUAUAGGAUCAGUAUACCCAAAAGCAAGUCUUUGAUGCUUGAUGAAAAAACAAACCAGAUAUUUAGUCAUAUAUUUAUUCUUAGCACUAAAAUUAUAAAUAAAUUCCACAUCAUUUAAUCUUUAUAAAUAAGUCCGAAAAAACCCCAAACAAUGACUGCUUGCCUUAUUGAAUUUAAUUUUGAUUAUUAAAUUAUUUUGAUACCCUUUUGAGUGUUUUGGGCUUUGUUAUGAGGUUUUUGGGUUGGGUUUGUUUUAAGAAAUUAAUGACAAUUUUGUAAUUUAAAAAAAGUUAAAAGUCUUUUUAUUAUGUUGUAAAUGGGCUUUGAGUAUGUUUUUAAAGUCCAUUUCAUAUUUAAAAAAAUUUAUAAUUUGAACUCCUAUAUUCCAUAUAAUAAUGAAUCUUCCAAAAAGAAAAUGGAGACUUUGGAAAAAUCCAAAGGAGAGAGAAAUUUUUUAAAAGAAGCUAAAAUAGACAAAAUUACCCUUACUUAUUUUUUGAUUUCUUAAGGAAUCCUUUACAUUUGCAUUUCUUUGAUUUGAAAAUUGAGAUGUUUUUUUGUUUUUGUUUUUAAAAACUUUGGUUUUUUUCAAAAAUGAAAGGUUUUUUUGUGAUUAAAGCUUAAAUUUACUAAAAGGAAAAAUGCAAGUCUUUCAUCCAUAUCCCACUCCAAGUUGUGCAUACAAUCUAAAAUGUAACGACAACUAGAAGACCAGCUCAGCUGAUUAAAAUCAUUGGACGUUUUGGUCAAGUUGUGCUUUUCAGAAAAGAAAAGAAAACCAACUUGCUUUUACAUUUCCACGCAAUUUCUCACAAAAAUUAUGCAUCUCUUUGCCCUUUUUUCGGGUAACUGGAAAAUAUCAGGCAUCUCAAUGAUAAAAGGAGACCGACAACCAUACGCCUACCUACCAGACACGUCAACACAUGACGAAGAAAUGGUAGCACUGAAACAAUAGAAAGCUUAUGCCUGAAUUAUUUUAUGUUGACGAACAUAUAUUUUUUUUUAAAAUAUUUUUUUUAAAGCAAAAGAAAGCUUAAAGUAUACACCAAAAAGAAGAAAGCUGAAAGCUUUUUAACUUUCCUCCACCAAGAAGAUGGAAAAGAAGAAACUCUGAACUUUCAGAGAACACCAUUCCGUAAGCUUAUUCUCCAUAUGAAUACAACGACACUUGAUAGAAGAAGACUUUCCAAAUUCUCAUUUGAAAAUUAAACAGGGCAAUCUCUCUGUUAUGUUUCAGCAGCUUCCCUGUUUCUCAUUUGAUCAUCAUCCUUCUCCUCUUAAUCAACACCUUAAUUAUCUUCUGAUCUUUCUCUUCUAUUAGAUAUCAUCAAGAACCCAAUUAGCAGCAAACACCUUUCCAAAUCAAUAACCAUGAAGAAACUCCUUCUCCCUCCUCUGCCUCUCUACCUCCUUCCCCUGUUUCUGCAAAUCGCCACCCUACUCUCUGCACCUAUCUACACUCCAGUCGAAGACAUCACCAUCAACUGUGGCUCUUAUGGAACCUCACCCAACAUAUAUGACAACCGGAAUUGGACUGGAGAUAUCAACUCAAAAUUCUCUCCCUUUGAAUUGCACCAAGAUAACACCAACACCUCAUCCCAAGUCAGAGAAGCACCUCCCUCCUCUGUUAGCCAAGUACCCUACACCACAGCUCGGCUUUCUCUUUCCGAAUUUAGUUACAAAGUUCCCCUCUCCACCGGGCAGAAAUUUAUUCGUUUACACUUCCACCCAGUUUCAUAUGACCCCGGCUUCGACCGAUCCAAAACCCUCUUCUCUGUCCAAGCAGGUGGCUUUACCCUUCUCCAUGAUUUCAAUGCUUCUGUAACUGCUGAUGCUAGUGAGACUGAGACGCUAAUAAGAGAGUUCUGUUUGAAUAUUGAUGAAGGACAGAGCUUGACCAUCACGUUCACUCCGAGCAGAGCAAUCCCAGAUGCUUAUGCCUUUGUCAAUGGGAUUGAGAUUGUGUCCAUGCCCACCAAUCUUUACUACACUGCAUCCGAAAGCCAUGGAGUUGAUUAUGUAGGCAACGAAGUCAAUUAUCGCAUCGAAAACAUCACGGCGAUGGAGAUGGUGUACCGAAUAAACGUCGGUGGAAGUGCACUCUCUUUCGACCAAGACACUGGGAUGUACCGCAAUUGGGACAGUGUAGUAGACGAGCAAAAGUACUUGGAUGAUUUGAGUUCCAGGUGGACUGUUCUUCCACAAAACGUUAGCCUUCAACUCAACUUUGUGAAAAUACCAGAGUACUCUGCUCCACAAGUAGUUUACCAAACGGGCCGGUCCAUGGGCAGCAACCACACCCGAAACAAGAGCUACAAACUGACCUGGGAAUUUCCCGUAGAUCCCAUGUUUCUUUACCUGCUAAGGCUACAUUUCUGUGAGUUUGAGCCUGAAAUUAUGGACACUGGGGACCGAUCGUUUCUAAUCUAUGUGGACAACCAACUUGCUGAGCCACAAGCCGACAUAAUCAUGUGGAGUGGUGGAAAUGGGAGACCAAUCUACAGGGACUACGUCGUGUUCAUGCCUGCAGGCGCUGAUCAGAAGAAAGUUAAGCUCUUUCUUGCACUGCAAGCAAACCCAAGAGAUUGGAUGACUAAAUACAAUGAUGUACUCUUGAACGGCCUUGAACUCUUCAAACUAAGUGAUACAAAUGGUAAUCUCGCCGGACCAAACCCCGACCCACCUCCACCAAAGCCGGUGCAGCUGAAAACCCCCUCAAAACAGUCGAAGAAGAAGUCAACUCCUAUGCUUGCCACCGUUGCUGGUGCAGUUUCCGCCAUACUCGUAUUAUUCUGUGUCCUCGGAUUCUUGGUUUUCAGGCGAAGAAGAAGAUCCAAGGAUACUUUUGAUGUACUGUCCGGUUUGUGUCGUGAGUUUUCAUUGUCCGAGAUCAAAGCCGCCCCCAAAAACUUCAACCAGGAUUUCAUUAUCGGUGUUGGUGGGUUUGGCCACGCGUACAAAGGGAGCAUCGAUCAGGGCACAAACCCAAGUCGCAACAUAGCGGGGCAGGAGAUUCGAAUUUGAGCGAUAAGAUGAAGGGUGAAGAUGACGUGUGGCUAAAGAGUGAGAGUGAUGCAGGGUUUAUUAGUUGUAGCUGGGAAGAUUCGUCGGAGAUGAAGGAGAGCAGAGUGACCAAACCAAGUAGUCAGCACAAUUCUUCUACUAACGAAUCCAUGAAAG